UUUUUUUAUUUUGUAAAAUAUUUUUGGAAAUAUUUUUUACUUAGAUUUAUGUAGAUAUUUGGGUUUAAAUAUUGAUCUAUUCACUGUCAAAUUGGAUAGGAAUAAACUUUAAGGUCAACCCUUUGACCUGAUAUCACUAGUCGGAUUCUGAGUUGCCUUGGGUGUGACUAUAAUGGAUUUUCUUCUCCAUUGCCUAAACCCUGUCAUGGUUGGAGCGUUUGCAAUACUCGUCCUCUCAUACCACCUGUUAUUAUGGAGGUCUGGAGCUGGUAAGAGCAGAAUGGCACCUGAAGCUUCUGGUGCAUGGCCCAUAAUAGGUCACCUGCACCUGUUAGGUGGAUCUAAGAAUUUGCCUCACUUACUUUUUGGAACCAUGGCCGACAAGUAUGGACCAGUAUUCAGCAUCCGGCUGGGAUUAAAAAGAGCUGUGGUUGUGAGUAGUUGGGAAAUGGCCAAAGAAUGCUUCACCACCCAUGACCUGGCUCUGGCCUCCCGUCCUCAGCUUGUGGCCGCCAAAUAUUUGGGAUAUAACUAUUCCAUGUUUGCUUUCUCUCCUCAUGGUGCAUACUGGCGUGAAGUGCGUAAGAUAGCCACUCUAGAGCUACUCUCGAACCGCCGGCUAGAGUUGCUGAAGAAUGUCCGAAUCUCAGAGGUGGAGACAUGCAUGAAGGAACUAUACAAGCUUUGGGCAGAGACGAAAAGCGAAGCAGGCGUUGUUUUGGUGGACAUGAAGCAAUGGUUUGGGCACUUGUCUCUGAACGUGAUUCUUAAGAUGGUUGUUGGAAAACGAUAUUUCGGUUAUGCAGCCGAAAGUAAAGAGAAAGGGGCCCAGCAGUGCCAGAAGGCGAUUAGGGAAUUCUUUCGUUUGAUGGGACUCUUUGUGGUGUCGGAUGCCCUUCCUUUUCUUGGAUGGCUUGACGUGGGUGGACAUGUGAAAGCCAUGAAGAAGACUGCAAAAGAAUUGGACGGUAUUGCUCAGGAAUGGUUAGAGGAACACCGACGGCGAAAAGAUUCGGGUGAAGCUGAUGGUGACCAGGACUUCAUGGACGUGAUGCUGUCCAUUCUGGGUGGUAGAGACACUACUGAUUAUGAUGCUGAUACCAUCAACAAAGCUACAGCCCUGGUAUGCACAUUAUUCCUUUAGCAUCUUUAUAUGGUAGUAAAAAAUGAGACAUAAUUUCACGCUUUAUCAUCUUUAGUCCAGACUCAAGAGUACUUGGGCCUGGGUUGGAAGAACUUCUUGUUUUUGCUUAGUUUCAAGUUGAAACUAAUCAAAAGCAGCGAUUUUUAAAAGGUAAUUAUAAUAGUGGUGUUAUAAAAGUUCAAACAUAAAAUAACUUUUUGCAUAAAUCAAAAUAGAGUUUAUAUAUAUAUAAUAUUUUUCUGAUCUUCAUAUUAAUUUUUUUAAGUCAUAACUUUUUUGAACAAAAUUAGUCAAACCAUAGAACUCUUGAACUUACAGAAAAGGCCUUUCGAUUUCUUAGAAAUAGAUACAUGUAGAGUUUUGUUAUAUGUUUGUUUUUGUCAAAAGAGUAACAUGAGCAGCUUAGACAAGCAAUUAGAAUGAAAUACAACUGGGCUGAGAAGCUGAUCGAGUACAACUAGAAUUAUGUACAACCUCUUGCUAGGAUAACUGGGUUGGACUAGUAAUGAUAGAGUUCUCCGUUGGAGUUAGGUGGCCCAAAAAGAUUGUGCUGUUUGAAUAGCUGGUCCUCUAAUUUAGGAAGAGGCAACCGAAUUUGCACCGCUGGGUGGCUGGGCCCAUAGAAAAUAUUAUUGUCAGAAGAUUAUGAAAGUAUGUUCCUUAGUCCGCAUGCUUUGAGGCCUCUUUGAGUGGGCUUCUAGGGCUGGUUAGACAAUUGGGCCUUUCAAAGGAUUUCCUAGAGUUACAUUUUUUUUAGCCCAACAUGAAUUUUUAUAAAAUGCUAUAUUUAUACGCGAGUUUCAUAUUGAAGCUAAACAUACCCAUUUUGAUCGGAAAAAAAAAGGAAAGAAAAUGGGGCCUUUUUUCCACCCUUAAUCCUAUCACUAUUUUUAAUUUUAUUUUAUUAGUUAAUGGUAUGUAUUUCACAGAUUCUGAUUGGAGGAGGCACUGACACUACAUCUGGUACUUUAACAUGGGCAAUCUCACUUUUAUUGAACAAUCCACACAUAUUAAGAAAAGCUCAAGAAGAAUUGGAUGCACAUGUUGGUAAAGAAAGAAUAGUAAAUGAAAUGGAUAUAAGCAAGUUGGUCUACCUUCAAGCAAUUGUUAAAGAGACAUUGAGGUUAAAUCCAACAGCCCCACUUUCAGGACCGCGUCAAUUCAUCCAAGAUUCUAUUUUAGGCGGUUACUAUAUCUCAAAAGGCACUCGUCUUAUAUUGAACCUCACCAAGAUCCAAAGAGACCCGAGAGUAUGGUUGAACCCAAUGGAGUUCCAACCAGAUAGAUUCCUCACCACCCACAAAGAUGUUGAUGUUAGAGGUAAACAUUUUGAGUUGACACCAUUUGGUGGUGGAAGAAGAAUUUGCCCUGGAGCAAUUUUUGCCCUUCAAGUGCUACACUUAACAUUAGCCAACUUCCUACAUAGAUUUCAACUUUCAACUCCAUCAGAUGCACCGGUUGAUAUGAGCGAGAGUUUUGGAUUAACAAACAUCAAAUCCACUCCACUUGAAGUUCUUAUCUCCCCACGCUUGGCUUCUUAUGAUCUUUAUGAGUAGAACUUGAGGUCGCUAAGAGACUUAUUUCAAAAAACCUAGUGCUAUGAAAUGUGAAAUAAAAAUAAAUUUCAUACAUGUAGCAUAAGUUUAGUAUUAUUUUAAAGCAGUUACUAAUGUGUGUCCUUUAGUAUUGUCUUAGCUUGAAUUUAAUAAAAAAAUAUUUUCGACAACUAUUUUGUGUGGACAAGUAAUGACCCAAUUUCUUGUUAUGUUUCUUCAUUCUUCCAUGAAAGAGAAUUUAGAAGAAAAAGUGGCAUAUAGCAUUACAAUUGAAAAAUUAAUAAGCAUGUACUCCACCAUAUGCAUAUAUAUGCAUAGUAGACUUAAUGAAUUUCCAAGUUGAUUAAUUGGUAUCUCCUUUUGAUAGAUUUCAGCCACCUUUUUGUACAUGAUUAAAGUAGUAAUGGAGACUAAAAUUACAACUCCCAUUUCAUUGUAAAAAGUUGGGAUGUGCAAGGUGGGUCAGUUCAAUUUUGGGCAUUAAAAUCGAAUCGAAUCGAAUUGAACCCAAAAGAGGAAAAUGAUUAGUUUGACUUGAUUAACAAUAAUCUAAGUUGGUUUAUUUUGCUUCUAUUUAUAACAUCAAUUUUUUUUUUAAUUUGAACGAAAAUAAUAUUAUUGAAGCAAGUCAUCUUUGGACGGUUGAAAUGAUAUUAUUACAACUAAUUUCAAAUCAUAUUAUUAUAACUUAAUGACAUGAAUAGGUAUUAUUGUAACCCAUGUCAAUCAUAUCAAAUAGUCCAAGUCAUAGAUAAAAGUUAUAAAGGUGUGAUUGGGAGUUCCAUCCAAUGUGAAAAAUGUAUACCAAAUUAAUAAUGUAACCAAUUGUUAUACUGUAUAUUAUUAUUGUGUGUGUAUAGCUUUCAAUUCAAUUCAGUUUGGUUCAUUAAUUUUUUUUUAUAGGUAAUUGAAUUGGUAUAACUUAGGUUUAUAUUUUUAAAAAUAAAAUCUUUAAAAAUUAAUAGAUUUGGGUCAAUUCCAUUGAUUUUGUCAAUCGUACACCCUAAAAGAAGGGAUGUCCACUUAUCAUCCAUAACUUUGUGUACUCCUAAGUUAGAAUUUUGCCCCAUGUGAUUCACAUUUGUACUUAUUAUUCUCAAAUUUUCGUACAAAUGAUUUAUUGUUUUGUGGAAUUUUACUCCAUGAGAUUCACAUUUGUACUUAUUAUUAUCAACUUUGUCUGCUCUUAAGUUACAAUUUCUCCUAAUUAGAUUCACAUGCGUUAUUGCCAUAAUUGACUUUCCACAUUUAUGCAUGAAUUAUUAUGUCAAUAGAUGCAUUAUCAUUUUGUCAAGUUAAUUUGACUUAGGUUAAUCACCAAAGACAAGGUGAAUUAAUUGACUCAAUUUUAAUAAAUUUUAAUUUAAAUGAGUGCAAGUAAUAAUAAUAAAACAGUAAAAAAAUACAUAAUUAAAUAAAUAAAAAGAAGAGAUAACUGGUACAAACUCCAAUUUAUAUUUUGCUCAAUCCUAUACUCUCCUCAAGCCCUCAAAUGCAAAUUGAGGGUUCCACUAGCUUUUAAGACUUCAAUCAAACCUUAAUCCUUUACACCUGGAUUCUCAAUUUCAAUGAUCUUUUUACACUUUAAUUCAAGAAAUUCCUCACUCUUGAACAUACUCAAAGGUAACACUUGAACAACAUUGAUCUCACAAAGUUUUAUUUACAGAUAAUAUAAAUGAAAACUUAAAUGGUUUUUUUUGGUUAGGAUUUCUAAAUUAAUAAGGAUUUUUACAUUAAAAAGAAAGAGUUAAGAUCAACUGGGUUUUGUAAGAUUUUGAUAUAUAUCUUAGUUUGCGAGUUUUUUGGGAUUAUAUUGUAAUCUUAUUGUUUUAUCCUAAAAUUGUCAAAAAAAGAAAUUAGUAAUUUAGUAUGGAAAUUUUACUCCAAAGAUUAUUGAUUAAAAAUUAUUUUACUAAUACCAACGUGUAAGAGUUAAAGGCAUAAAAUUGAAAUUAAAGUAAGUUUAUUAUUUUGGAUUUUGUUAAGUAAUGACAAGAUUAAUAAUUGAAAUUAAUGUAAAAAGAAGUGUAAAAACUUUAAAACUUUAAAAUAUCAUUUCAUUAUUAGUUUCCACUUGCCAACAUAGACUUCUCAUUCUAUUCUAACAAGUUUUUUGUACUUUUAUAUAUAUAUAUUUCAUAAACUUAACAAAGGAUACAAACAGCAAAAGAAAAAAAAAAUUGAGCUACUAAACCUCAAUAUAAAUUUGGGGUGAAUUGUCAAGGUCUAUUAAGGAGCAUGGGGAAGUACUGUAUCACAGAUCAAUGUGAAGAUGUAUAUAUAUUUAUAGUAUAGAACCUAAGAGAACGUUUCUUUCUAAGUUAGGUAAACAUUUCUGUCAAAGUUGAUGAAAUUUUACUAUAAUUUAUAUACACAUGCUUUCAGUGUGCAUAUAAAUUAUACGUGGAGAUGAUUUUUAACUUAUAUCUUGCUUUUUAUAUGUGAUUUAAUAUUGUUUUGGAUUAUUGAUUAUGACUUAUGAAUUAUCAUGCAUGGAACUAAUCAAAAUGAUAUAAUUAAAUUAUAUUAAUGAAUUUGAGAUAGACAUGGCAAUUAUUAAUUUAAAAUAUCUUAUAUGAACAUAAAAUUUUAAAUAUAGACUCAUAAUUUAUAUUAAAAUAAUAAAAUUAAAAAAGUACGUUUAUCUCAGAUUUAUGCCUAGGGCCCAAAUUUUGCUGAGAGACGGCCGGAUGUCAUCACAUGCAAGAAAGCUAGGAAACAAAGCUAAAGUUUGCUUCUUGUGUGGGAAGAGGUACUUCCGUGCUUGACUGAAAGAAAGGAUUUUCUACAAGAAAAAUUGUCCCCUUGUUUGUAAAGCCUCAAGUUGCGACAGCAAUAACGACAAAAGUAGGCCAAAGAAUUUGUCAUUAUUAUGAGACUAGAGAGGUUUUACUGAGAAGUUUUCCGAGCGUGAUAUCAGCAUUCGCUGUAUCACAGUGAUACAACAAAUGGUUUGAACACAGUGAUCUAGAACCCAUUAGCUCAAAUUUCAUUGAUCUGAACACGAUGAUCCUCAUCCGCAGACCAUUUUAGGGAAUAAUUAAUUCUAGCGAUUUUUUAACUGCAUGUACGAAGAACUUCAUCAAAAUUCGAUUAAGUGUAUCUUAACCAAUCUUGAUCAGUAUGCGACUGAUGAUUCUAUUUGAUAAAAGUAAUGCGGUGGCCCAACUUUAUCUUAAUUUCUAUGUUGAAAGUAAUCAUUAUAUUAUUCUAUAAUUAUAAAUGUAGACUAUGGAAUCAAGAUAACUUUGAUAUGCUGAGAUCAAAAGAGGGCGGCCACUUUAGUAGUGGACUAUAUAUACUAAAUAAAGCUGAUCGAUUAUUACAUUGGAAAAUAACAUUGAACCUAUCAUGAAAGACAACCCUACUGGACCAUGCCCCGAGUACUAAAUGCUGAUAAAAAACAAGUACAUGUUCCAAAGGAAUUGAGUCCAUAUAUACACAUUAGUGCUCAAAGAGAAAAACUAUAUAUCCACCGCUUAACUACAGUGAUCCUUUGAGCAGAAGUUAGCCAUGUAUUUCCUUUUCCAAUACCUAAACAUCACCACGGUCGGAGUCUUUGCCACACUUUUCCUUUCCUACUGUCUAUUAUUAUGGAGGUCUAGAGCUGGUAACAAAAAAAUAGCACCUGAAGCUACUGCUGCAUUGUCACGACCCAAAUUCCGGGUGACCCAUAAUUUGGCCCGUGACCCCAGGUCAAAGGUUUGACCCUAAGGGUUACUCCUAUUCCACGUUGGCAGUCAACUAAAACACUCUGAAAUUUUUUUUUUUCUCACAUAUAAGUCUCACUAGGUUCUCACCAACUAACAAUAUUUCAACCCUUACUCAAACACAUUAAGAUUUAAUAAAUAUCAUUGCAUUCCAAAAUAAAAUUUCAUAAAAAUCCCCUUAAUCGAAUUAAGGUCUUAUUACAUUAUCCAUAAUUCACUUAUUACAAGAUCUCAAUACCACAAACAUAAUAAAAAAAUAAAACACAUUCCACUAAACCGCUCCAAGGGCAUCCUGAAGUCCUCCCUGUCCCACCUGUGGAUCCUCAGGAGUGAUAUCUGCAUCUAAAAAUAUAUAUAUAAAAAAAAAGGGUGAGCAUUUCCACAUUGCUCAGUAGGGUGCCUAACACCCAAAGGGUUAAUGGGGGAUUACUAUAUUUCAAUAACCCAAACACAACAGUUUACCAAUAUAAAUCAAGUCACACAAUUUAACAUAUAAUAUUAUACUCAAUCCCACAACAUCCAAUCAUUACAUAUUAAAUUACCACCUACAUCUAUAAGUUCUUCAUCUUUUUAUAAAGGAGCUAUAGAAAUGUUAAAAAGUCGAAAGAAGACAACAAAUAGUUCUCCAAACAACACAACUGAUUUAGAUAGAUAUCUUAAUAUUGAUUUAAUUUCAUUUGAAGAUGAUGAAGAUUUUGAUAUUUUAAUAUGGUGGAAAUCACAACAACACAAAUAUCUUGUGCUUUCUAUCAUUGCUCGUGAUGUACUAACAGUUCCUGUGAGUACAGUUGCAUCAGAAGUUGCUUUUAGUGCAGGUGGAAGAGUAGUUAGUGAUAAACGAUGCAGCUUAGCGCCGGAUUCUAUUGAAGCAAAUAUAUGUCUGAAAGACUGGGCAAUAGCAGAUAAAAGGAUAUUUGAUUCUAUUCAAGAAGAAAAUAUGCUUGUCGAUAUGGAAAAACUAAAAUCAUCAGAUCUUCAUGGAUUUGCGAUAGUUAGCCAUCACCGCUAAGAGAUAAUGAUUAAAAUAUUUUACUAAAUGUAUGUCAUAUUUUUAUUUUUAUUUUUGUGGUUGAAAAGUACAAAUGAUUGACAAAUAAGUAGGUGCCAACCUAGUUGAGAUGUAUUUAUUUUGUAGUGAUGUAAACUUUUUCCACAUUUUCAAAUGUAAUGUAUAUAUUCAAUGAAUAAAAUAGUUAGCAAUGAAUAUUUUUAUUAAUGUAGCAUUUUCUAUUUUUUGAAUAUAUUUUUAUAUAUAUAUAUAUAUAUUUUUAAGUGGCGGGCCUACGGGUGGGCCCACGGCCGGGCCGGGCUUAAAUUGGGGCCCAUCCAAAAAUGGGCUCGGGUCGGGCUUUAGCCUACUGGGCCGGGCCGCGAGCUUUUUGGAGACCCUUAAUUUUUAUAAAUUACAGAAAAGAAAGAAAGAAAAAAAAAAAGAGAAAUCUACAUAUAGCUGCAUUUGUGUUUGUCAUGGAAAAUGAAAAAUAUUGCUAGAGUUUAUAAUGUAAAACAAAAUGCAAAUGUGAAACGCAAAGCAUAUAAGCUAUUUUAGGGUAAAAUCCAUGAAUGACCAAAUGGCCCAAAAAAAAGAUCAAAUUGGAAAUACGAUCGGUCAACGGUUGAAUCGAUUGGUGCAAUCCAAUUUUCAAAACCAUGAAAAUUUUAAUAUAUGACUUAAGCAUGUAAGUUUGAUAUAACAACGAGUAAAAAAUAAAUUAUAGAAUCCCUUUAGAUGAAAAAAGAUUUUAAUAAUUAUAAAUUUUUAUGAGAUGGAUAUGAUUUAUUAAGAUAAUUUUAAAAAAUAAUAAAUAAAAUUUAAUAUUAAAUUUUAUUUAUAAGAAUAAAAUAUCUUAAGAUAAUUAUGAGGGUAGGUAGAGGAUGCUAUUUUUAUGAGAAGCAUAAUAUGAUGCGUUUUGCAUUAAAAAGUCAAAUUCAUCCACACAUGUCCAUGUCUAUGAAACACAUUACACCGAACAUUAUUUUCAAAUUCGGACAUUAUUUUCAAACCCAACCUACGUAAGGCAUGUUUUUUUUUUUUUUUUUCUUUUUAAUUAUUAAAUUAGUUGUAUUUUGGUUCAAAACUCACGUGGGAAGAAGACUAGAGGGGGAACAUUUUUGUUGCGAAGCUAUACGGAAUAAAAUUUAUUCAGAAGCCGGUCAAAACUCAAAUUUAUCUGCGGAACUUUUGUACUUAUCUUUUGACAAUUGGAAUGCUUCCCUACAAAUUAACUAAAUUAAUAGUCUCCUUGUUUUAUCAGAAGCGAAGGAAAAAGUAGGACUCAUGCAUCGUACAACACAAAUAGGCAGAUCUUUAGUCAUAGAUGGUGCAUGCCGUAAAGUAGCCGUCUUGAGCUUGGUAAGAAACCAAGCUAUUAAAACUUGACUUGAACUGUUCAUUCUCAAGGGGGUAAGUGCCAGCCAGGGUUCAAAUUUUAUGAUGCGGGCAUGCAAGACUUAUACCAAUCUGCCGUUCUAAUAAUAGAAUGUAGAAGACACCAAGCACCUCCUGCAUGCAUCUUGAGGCGGUGUAGACACGCAUCCCAAGGCGAAGUUGUUCUCUACGACCUAAGGAUCAAUUUAGUAAUUGUUUUAAAAAAUAGUUUUUUGAGGUCAAUUUUUGAAAAUUAUUUUUAAAAUUUUUAAAAUAAAAAUAUGUUAGAAAACCUAAAAUAUAACAUGUUUUUAAAUUUUUUAAAUAUAUUUUAAAAAUAAUUUUUAUAUAUUUUUAAUUCUUAUAUUUAUAUAAUUAUUUUUUAAAACAACGGUUAGAAAACAAGUAAAAACAAAUAAAUUUUUUUUAAAAAAAAACAUUCUAUUUUAUGUUAUUAAUAACUUUUAAUUAUCAAAAGUUUUAUUUUAUAUUUUUUGUUUUAAAGAACAAAAAGCCUGCUCAAAAAAACAGUUGCCAUAACUUUUUUCUGAUCUGUAGUGAUCCUAGGAAGGCUGUUUUCUAAAUAUAGUAAUAUAAUAAAAAAAUGUGGUCAUAGUAAGAAAAUACCGUUUGGACAUGUCCAUGGUAUUAUGCAUAUGCUUGAACAGGGAAGCUACCCACAGUUUAACCACAGUAAUCCAAUAGCAACAUCUAAGCUACCAUGGAUUUCCUUCUCCAAUGCCUAAACCCUGCCAUGGUUGGAGCAUUUGCAAUACUUGUCCUCUCCUACUACCUGUUAUUAUGGCGGUCUGGAGCUGGUAAGGGCAGAAUGGCACCUGAAGCUGCUGGUGCAUGGCCCAUAAUAGGUCACCUACACCUCCUAGGUGGGUCUAAGAAUUUGCCCCACUUACUUUUGGGAACCAUGGCCGACAAGUAUGGAGCAGUAUUCAGCGUUCGGCUGGGAUUGGAAAGAGCUGUGGUGGUGAGUAGUUGGCAGAUGGCCAAGGAAUGCUUCACCACCCAUGACCUGGCUCUGGCCUCCCGUCCUCAACUUGUAAUCUCCAAACAAUUGGGAUAUAACGAUGCCAUGUUUGCUUUCUCUCCUCACGGUGCAUACUGGCGGGAAGUGCGAAAGAUAGCCACUCUAGAGCUCCUCUCGAACCGCCGGCUAGAGUUGCUGAAGAACGUCCGAAUCUCAGAGGUGGAGACAUGCAUGAAGGAACUAUACAAGCUUUGGGCUGAGAAGAAAAACGAGGCAGGCGUUGUUUUGGUGGACAUGAAGCAAUGGUUUGGGGACUUGACUCUGAACGUGAUUCUUAUGAUGGUUGCUGGAAAACGAUAUUUCGGUUAUACAGCCGAAAGUCAAGAGAAAGAGACCCAGCGGUGCCAGAAAUCGAUUAGGGAAUUCUUUCGUUUGUUGGGUCUCUUUGUGGUGUCGGAUGCCCUUCCUUUUCUUGGCUGGCUUGACGUGGGUGGACAUCUGAAAGCCACGAAGAAGACUGCAAAAGAAAUGGAUGGUAUUGCUCAGGAAUGGUUAGAGGAACACCGACAGCGAAAAGAUUCGGGUGAAGCUAAUGGUAACCAGGACUUAAUGGACGUGAUGCUGUCCAUUCUGGCUGGCACGGACCCUACCGGCUAUGAUGCCGAUACAAUCAACAAAGCCACAUCCCUGGUAUGCACAUUAUUCCUCGAGCACCUUUAUAUGCUACUAAAAAAAAUGACAUUCUUCUCAAGACAUAAUUUCAUGCUUUAUCCUCUUUAGUCGGGACUCUCAGACUCUCGAGAGUACUCACACCUUCAAUGGAAUAACUUUCUGUUGCUGGUUGAAGCUAGUCAAAGUCAAUACUUUUUAAAAGAUAAUAUUAGAUUUAUAAAAGUUUUAUCAAUUAUGAAAGAAUUUUUUGCAUCAGCGCAAAUAGAAUUUUUUUACUUAAAAAUAAAACGUUUUUGAUUUCAUAUUGUGUUUUAUUAUACGUUGUUAUUUGUCAAAAGAGUAACAUGAGAAGCUUCGACAAGCAAUUAUAAUGAAAUACAACCCACCUGAGAAUCUGAGCGUAACUAGAAUUAUGACGAACCUCUGGCUUGGGUGUUUGGGCUGGGCUGGUAAUGAUCCAACUCUCCUCUGGGUGGCUGGCCCAUUCUUGUCAGAAGAUCAUGAAAGUGUGUUCAUUAUUCCUCAUGCUUUGAGGCCUCAUUGACUGGGCUUCUUGAUCUUGAGUUGGUUAGACAAUUACGCCUUUCAAAGACUCCUCGUCAUAAUAAAUACAGGGGCUUUCCCUCGUAAAUUUAAGGAUUUUUAUAUUUUAUAUUUUAUUUUAAUUUUGAAGGCCAACAUGAACUUUUAUAAAAUGCUAAAUUUAUGAGCGAGUUUCAAAUUCAAGCUACUUUUGAUCGACGGACACUAAACUCUAACUCUAGAAGCAGACUCCUAUUGGUUUCUAAGGGGCACUCACUCUUGAAAAUAAAUAAAUAAAUAAAUUGAAGCCUUUUCCUCCUUAAUCCUGUUAGUAGUUAUAAUUUUAUUAACAUUAGUUAAUGUUUUGUACUUGACAGAUUUUGAUUGCAGGAGGCAGUGACACUACAUCUGUUACUCUAACAUGGGCGAUCUCACUUUUAUUGAAUAAUCCAUGUAUGUUAAGAAAAGCCCAAGAAGAAUUGGACACUCAUGUUGGUAAAGGGAGAUUGGUAAAUGAAGUGGAUUUAAGCAAGUUGGUCUACCUCCAAGCAAUUGUUAAAGAGACAUUGAGGUUAUAUCCCGCAUUUCCACUUUCAGGACCACGCCAAUUUAACCAAGAUUCCAUUUUAGGUGGUUACCGUAUCCCAAAAGGCACUCGUCUUGUGUUGAACCUCACUAAGAUCCAAAGAGACCCAAGUAUAUGGUUGAACCCAACAGAGUUUCAACCAGAAAGAUUCCUCACUACUCACAAAGACAUUGAUAUGAGGGUCAAAAAUUUUGAGUUUACACCAUUUGGUGGUGGAAGAAGAAUUUGCCCUGGUGCAACUUUUGCCCUUCAAGUGCUACACUUAACAUUAGCCAAUUUCUUGCACAAAUUUCAACUUUCGACUCCAUCAGAUGCAACAGUUGAUAUGAGCGAGAGCCUUGGGAUAACAAACAUCAAAUCCACUCCACUUGAAGUUCUCAUCUCGCCACGUUUGUCUUCUUGUGAUCUUUAUGAGUAAAACCAAUGAAUGUUGAGAGAGACUAUUUCAAGAAACCUAGUAUUAUAUAUAGGAAAUAAAAAUACAAAUAAAAUUUGUACAUGUGGUACAAGUUUAAAAUAAUAACUAAUGAGUACUAUACUUUUUUAAUUUUAUCUUAGCUUGAAUUUUGGUGUUUUUUUUUUCUCCUUGUAGAAGAAAAAGUGGCAUAUAGCAUUUUUCUUUCGGUAUAGAUAGUGAAAAAUAAGUAUGCACUUGACCAUAUGCAUACGUGUGCAAUAGACUUAAUGAGUUGCAAGUUGAUAAUUGAUCUGUCUUUUGGUAGAUUUUAGUUGCCUUCUUGUACAUCAUUAAAGUAGAAGAUAAAGACGAAAAUUAUAACUUCACCCAUUCAAUUAAAAAUCAAUUUAAUUGAAUUUAAAGAAGAAAAUGGUUGGUUCGGUUUGACUAACAAUAAUUGAUUCGUCGGUUUAUUUUGUUUCAAUUUGUUUUGGUUUGUUGUAACAAUAAAAAUCAUUUUUUUUGGUUAAUUUGGACUAAAAAAAAAAAACCAUGAUUAGAUAAAAACUAUAAAUGUGCAUAUGAAGUUGUAUCGAAUGUGAAAGCUUUUCAUCAAAUUAAUAAUAUAACCAAUACUCAUAUUAUUGAUGUAAAUAUAGAACUUCUAGAUAAGUUCAAUUUGUUUUACUAUUGAUUUUUUAAAUAGGUAACCGAAUUGGUCUAAUUCAAUUUUAUAUUUUAAAACCCAAUAUUAUUAAAAGAAAAAUUGCUAAAAAUUAGUGGAUUAGGGUUAGUUCAUUGAUUCUGUCUACACCCCAAAAAGAAGAGUGUCCACUUCGUAUUGUCAACUUUGUGUGCUUAUAAGUUACAAUUUUGCACCAUGAGAUUCACAUUUGUACUUAUUAUUGCUAAUUUUGUGUGGUCAUAAGUUAUAAUUUUACCCCACUAGAUUCACAUUUGCUAGCAUCAUAAUUGACUUUCUACAUCCAUGCAUUCAUGAAUCAUUACAUUUCAAUACUGUAUUACCAUUUUGGUGCUAAACAAGAAGACUCGUCUUUAAAGUACUCAAGCAAACCCUCACCAAUUUUAAUCAUUUUUCAAUUUAGAUGAAUGGGAGCAACAACACUAGAACAAUGAAGUAGAUGAUGAAAUAAAAUAAAAAACAAAGAUAGUAUACAAACUCUAAUUUUAUUGGUUUGUCAUAGUCUUGACUUAUAUGCACUCUCCUCAAACUUUAAAAUUCUGCUAACUUCUAAUCCUUCAAGCCAAUCUUAAACUCUUACAUUUUGAUUCUUGAUUCCAAAAGACCUUCUUACACUUGCCUCAAUAGAUUCUUUACUUUUGAAUACACUAGUCACAAGUUGUUAACAAUUGAACAAAAUUAAUCUUUCUAAAUCUUAAUUAGUACAAGUUUAAACUUGAGAAAAUACAAGAGGAAAUUAGGAUGUUUUGUCUUAGAUAAGAUUUAUAAGUUAAUCAAGAAUUUUACAUUGAGAACAAAGAGUUAAGAUCAAUUCAGUUAAGUGAGAUUGUAGGAUCUAAUUAGUUUGAGAUCUUAAGCGGUCCUGUUAUAAUCUUAUUAUUUUAUUCCAAAAUUGCCUAAGAGGGAAGUAGUAAUUUAGGACAACAAUUCCCUCCCAAAGUUUAUUGGUUUGAAACUAAUACUUUAUUAUACCAGCAUGUUUGAGUUGAAAACACAAAAAUUGAAGCUAAGGCAAGUACUUUACAAUUCGGAUUGGGUUGCAUCGAGCUUUGGUGGUAACUACUUGGGAGAUGGCUAAAGAAUGCUUGACCGCCAAUGACCAGGUUUCAUCCUCGCGUCCCGAACUUUUAGCCGCAAAACAUUUGGGCUACAACUACGCCAUGUUUGGUUUCUCUCCAUACGGUUCUUACUGGCGUGAAGUGCGCAAGAUAAUCAGCCUAGAGUUACUCUCUAACCGCUGCCUAGAGCUGCUGAAGGACGUCUGUGCUUCAGAAGUGGUGACAUCCAUAAAAGAGCUAUACAAGCUCUAGGCAGAGAAAAAAAAUGAAUCGGGCCUUGUCUCGGUGGAAAUGAAGUAGUGGUUUGGAGAUUUGACUCUGAACGUAAUUCUUAGGAUGGUGGCAGGGAAGCGUUAUUUCAGUGCUUCAGAUGCAAGUGAAAAUAAACAGGCGCAGAGGUGCUGGAGAGUGUUCAGGGAAUUUUUUCAUUUGGUAGGGCUCUUUGCGGUGGCGGACGCUAUUCCUUUUCUUGGAUGGCUCAACUGGGGGAGACAUGAGAAUACCCUAAAGAAGACAACAAUAGAAAUGGACAAUAUUGCUCAAGAAUGGUUAGAGGAGCACCGUUGGAAAUCAUGAUAAUAGUACGCAAGACUUCAUGGAUGUGAUGCUGUUAGUUCUUGAUGGCAAAAAUCUUGGUGAGUACGAAAGCCACAUGCUUGUGUGGACCCGCAUUUUUCACGUGCACCUCCACUCAAUCGGCGAGACUCGUUUUUUUUUGGUGAAGAUGUUGUUUUUGGAAAAGUCGGAGUCGCCACUUAUUUUAUUUUAUUUUAAAGGGAAAAUAAAACAAGAAAUAAAACCCUAAAAAAUGACUCCAUAGUUUUUUGGAAAAGCAUGUCUUUGAAAAACCCGAGUCUAGGUCCGGGGAUCAGGUUACUUAUUGGGAAGGUACCUCCAGGAGAUAGCACCUCUCUAAGCCCUACAAAGGUCCCUACUGACUAUGUUGAAGGAAAUGUGGCAAUCAACUGAUUAAUUGAGGGUACCUAGGUAGGCUAAGGUGAUCUCAAAACUAGCAUGCUAAACAAGAAAAACCAAUCACGCCCAUAAAGGAAAGUUAGGAUGCGUACCUGGACCACUUCUUAAGCGCUAUCAUAAAACAUCAAUGGUUAGUUUAGAUAAUAUAUCACUCAGUAUGUGUUUUAUCAUGAAUGAUCAAACAAUGUAGCAAAUAUCAAGACAUCCCAAGCAUUCUCAAACAUAGGUAUAAAUCAUAAUGACGAUCAUAUUUACAAAAUUUGGAAGGUAGGUGACAGGAGACGUACCUGGAUAGCAUAGAUAACUUGUAACGUGCUUUCACAAGACAUGAGAGGUUAGAUAACAAACAAUAAAAUAAGAAGUCCUAGCAUGUUUGUUAUCUAAUUAGCAUAGAAAAAAAAAAUUAUCAUAGUAUAUGAAACCAUCAAUUAUCACUUAUAUCUUCUGUAUAAUUUCUAAAAAAUAAAUAGACAUGAUUUCCUUAAAUAGCAAAGGGGGCAACAAAGAUGAGUUUUGAAAAUUUUCCUUAUGUAGGGGCUUCACCAAUUCCCCGAUUGAUAUACACAAAUCUAGUUUAGAAUUAUCCCAUUUGUUUGGGACCACAAGCUUGGAUUCAUGUCUUACUCAAAACUGUAAUUUUAUUUGAAAUUUAAGAAAGAUGCAAACAGAUCAAAACAUGGUUGCACAUUAUUUGAGAAAAUGAGAUUUCGAUUCUAAGAACUCUAAAUGAAUUUUUGAAAUGGAUUCCUAAAGGGAAUGAGAUUUUGAUUCUAAGAACUUUAAAUGAAUUUUUGAAAUGGAUUUUUAAAGGGAUUUUUUUUAGAAUAGUGUUAUGUUUUAAAAAUAAAAGAAAUUAAUUUCAAAACAAUAAAACGUAUGAAUCAAAUACCAAGCAAAACAAAAGAGAACAAAAUCACAAAGUAGAAUUUUUGACAACCAAGAAAAUUGAAGUGGUGAGAAUGGAAGCCAAUCUUCACUAUUUUUCGAUGGUCUCCAAAAAGUAAAUUUUACUAGAGACUACCAAAGCAAUAAACUAUUCAAACUUGGAUCAAAUAAGCUAACGAAAUACCCACCAAGAAUUAAUGACGAAAAUUCAAGAAACACAUCUACUAAGAAUAACAAUCAAGAAUUAGCAUGAGAUCAAUUAAACACACAAACGCAUCUAGAUUAACUAAAAUGAACCAAAUUAAAUCAAAGCAAACAAUAAUUUUCAAACAUAGAAUUAACUUUAUUAAUGAACUAAUAUUAUAUAAAAUACCUAAAUCGAAUAGAUGUGCAAAACUAAAUCAAAGUAAACUAAAGGCAUGAAUUCUCAAAAAUAGAAUUGAUUUUAUUAAUGACCUAAAAUUAUACAAACUCCUAAAAUAAUUAAAAUGAAUCAAUUUAAACGAAAGGAAACUAAAACAAAAUAUGAAUUCAGGGAAUCUAAUUUCGAAAUAAACUUACAUUAUUAAAAUGAAAUCUAGGCUUAAAAACUAUUAAACACUAAUUAAAGCCAAUCUAAACUUAAAUUCUUAACACACAUGAUCAAUUAUUUUAACAAACUAACAUUUUACCUUAACCACAAAUUAAAUUAAAAAACUACUUGAGACUAAAUUUCUAACCUAUAAAAUUAAACUCAUAAUCAAAUGGAUAAGUUGAUGACACAGACAAAUAAAUAUGAAUAAAAUAAAAUAUGAAUGAAAUGAAAUACGAACACAAGGAAUUAAAUAAUUUUUUCUUUUUUUUAAUAAACUUAUGUUAGUAAAAUAAAUUUGAGCUUAACAAACAUUUUUAUCACUAAUUAAGGCAAGUUUAAAAUAUAAUACUUAACACAUAAAAAAUCAAUCAUUUCAACAAACUAUAAUUUUAACUAAACUUAAAGUCAAUUCAAACAACCUUCAAUAGAUUUUUUUAUUUUUAUUUUAAACUGAAUUUUUAACCCAUAGAUUCAAUCUCAUUGAUAAAUAAAUAAAUAAAUAAGUUACAAAGCAUUAGCUUAGUAGCAAAUAAAUAAAUAAACAACUAAUAAUUAAAUGAAUCACAACUAAACUAAAUAAAGAUCAAACUAUAUUAUUUUUUUUAUUUUUCAAAAGUAGAAUUACAUGAAUUUGUAUUUUUUGAAUUUAAUAUAAUAUACCAAACUAAACUUAAACACAAUUCUCAUUCUGCCAUAUUAAAACAAAAAAUGCAUGGAGUUAGUAAAUAAAGUCAAAUGACACAAUAUAAUAAUAAUUCCACUAAAAAACCAAUCAAACUAAUUAAAAUUCUAAAAAAUAUCAACUAAAACAAGAUCAAUCAAAAUUAGCGUGUAUAUAUAUAUAUAUAUAUAUAUAUAUAUAUAUAUAUAUAUAUAUAUAUAUAUAUAUAUCUUUAUUUUUAGUUAUUUAUUUAUUAAAACACGAAUACAUCAACACGAAACGAAAUAAACUAACCAACUUACAUUCUAAAACUAAAAGGAUAAAUCAUGAAUUAAAAUUAACAACCUUUGGAUAUGAAAAGAGUGGCAUGGAAUCAAUUGAAAUAAUAAACUAAAAUUUAAUAACAUCUAAACUAAAAGAUAAAUUAAAACUAAAUUAAAUGAAAUUAUGAACUUCCUAAUUGAGAAAAAAAAUAAUAAUAGUAAUAAAUCUAAUCAAAAUUCUAAAUUUUAAACCAUCAUCAUGAAUUGCCCAAACUCUUAAAAAAUCCUAACCUUUCCAUUAUCAACAAAAAUUGCCUAAACCAAUAUUUAAAAAAUCUAAUUUGUCAAACUAAGAAUAAUAAAUUGUAACUACAUUAAACAAAAAUCAUAAUCUUCAAGCUAGAAUAAUGAAUCAAUAAUAAUUAAUUUAUUUAGAUAAGAAAAAUUAAAAAAAUAAAUUAAAGAUUAACAUCUAAGCUAAACAUGAAUUUACAAUAAAAAUUUAAAAUACAAAGAUUGAAUGGGAAUAAUUUUAAAACUAAUAAAUUGUCAUCAGGAAAUAUAUUGAUAUUAGAAAUAAUUAAACUAUAUAGAUAAAACUCUAAAACGAUUAUGCAUUGAAUUGAAUAUUUCUUGAAUCAAAAUUGAAAUAGGAAGGAUAAAUUCACAUUUUCCGAAACGUGUAGGUCACUUUCCACUAGUAGGAUUUCUAUUUUUUAUUUUAUUUUAAAAGAAUCAUUGCCAAGGAUGCAUGGUGUGGUGGCUGCCCAUGCACUGUAGCUGAAGACUUCUUCUUGGUGGUCUUUGAAACCUAGGAGCAUGGCUGAAUGUUUCCUUUCUUCCAAUAGUGCAACUGCUCCGGAAGUCCUCUCAACGGUGCGGCUGAUUCAGAAAUCGUCAUCUCAAUGGUGCGGCUGUUUCGGAAAUCUUCCUCUCAAUGGUGCGGCUACACCCUCUCACAUUCCAGAAAAUAAUCUUACUCCUCCCACCUGGAUCCCCUUUAGUGCGGCUGUUGAUCUCCUUCCCGUUUGGUGUCACCCUCUCUUCUGAUGCAUGCUGAAAGCGUCCCAAGAAUGGUGCAGCUGGUCGUUCUUGCUUCUCCAAAGGCGUCAGACCCUCUUAUGCGUGCUGAAAGCGUCCUAAGUAUGGUGCGGCUGGUCGUUCACCCCUCUCCAAAAAAAACUCUCCCCCCUCUCACUUUCUAACCUUCCUCUCCAGUACUCUGCCAACAUGGGAAGACAACUCACCAGCCCGGAGAGCCUCAAUCAUCCACGUCAGUCUAGCAUCAUCAGGACUCUCCUUCCUGAACAUAGUCUUCAUUCCGUCCAAAUACCCAUUGAACAUUUCCUUUUUCCAUGCCAAAAGAACUUUGGUAAUUUUCUUUCUUCAUUCAUUUCCUUCCAUUAGAAGCACAAUCAACACAUGCAUGGGUGCAUACUUGCUUUCCUUCUUAGUUCAUUUUCUUCCAUACGUCCUGUCCUCUUCCAACCACCUUGAAUCCAUCCUUUAACCCGCUGAAUAUUUCCUUUCCAUAAUCACACAUGAAAAUUCCUCUUUUUAAUUUUUUUUUUUGACUGAAUAUCCUCUAUUUCCUGAAAGACUCACACAUGAAUAUCCUUGCCAAUACACGUUUUCAACCUUCCUUUUUCUCUCCAGUGAUGAUUCCUUUGGUGAGUUUCUCUACAAAAAUAUAAAGAAAAUUAGACUUAAUGAAUGAAUCCCAAGGUGUUUUAGAAAAUUAUAAAAUAAAUUAACAAAAUAAUUAAGUAAAUAAUGAUAAUAAUAAUAAUAAUAAUAAUAAUAAUAAUAGUAAAGUGUCAUGCAAUCUAUGCAACCAUGCAAUCAUGUGAGCAACUCAAGUCAUGCAAAGAAUGUCUAAUGGGCCUCGGGUGUAUCUAAUGGACCUAAAGGGUCUAAGUGGACCAAUGAUGGUGCCUAAUGGGCCUAAGUGGGCCUAGGGUGGUGCCUAAUGGACCUAAAGGGUCUAAGUGGGCUUAGGGUGGUGCCCAAGUGUAUCUAAGUGAACCUAAAGUGCUUAAGUGGAUCUAAGUGAACCUAAAGUGUUUAAGUGGAUCUAAGUGAACCUAAAGUGCCUAAAUGGGCCUAAGUCUAAAUUAGGGCUACUAAGAGUCACAAUAGGGUUAAAUGAAUCCCUCUACCAAAGUCUCCGAGGUGGCUCAAAAAAGGUAAGUAGUAUGAGUAGCUAUGGGCCACUAAGGAACUACUGUGGAGCACUGGAAGUGAACUUAAAGACAUGUGCUAAAGGAACAAAAUUGAGGGUCUACAACCUGGUAUGAGUAUUAAUGGAACACCCACGUAACAUUGAUAAAGACAAAUUGCAAGGAUAAGGCAAUGAUCGAACAAAUAACCUAUGAUUAAACAAGAUCAUUCAAAAUCAAUUUUGUAUAUUUUUGUAACCGUUAUUUGAUGUGUUGACUUGAACAAUUCUGUAACUGUUGUAUAGUUGUAGGCAAAUUGAUGUACAUUGCCGCAAAUAGUUUUUCUUAGCUAUGCAUAUAAGUAAACUCUUAUUACAUCAAUAAAAGUGUGAAAAUUUUCAUUGAAAACAACAAUGUUAUUUCUUCUAUACUAUUUAUAUUUGCAUAGGGCUAGCUUCUUUUCCAUAGUUUUUCUUUUGUUUAUAUGUUUUAAUUGAUGCAUAUUCACUUUCUUAUUCUCUUAAUUAAAUUGCAAUAAUUAAAACUCUAAUUUAAAUAAAUUUUAAAAUUUAUUUUUAACUAAAAACAACAAUAUACAUAUACAAAUAUAUACUGCUUAAGUAAUUAAUUUUUUUAAAAAAUAUCCUUUGAGAACAUCUCAGACAAACUAAGACAUGCUUCUAGGGAAAUCUAAAUAUAAUGUUUUUAAAAGCUACCUUGUAAUUUUAUUUUCGAGCAUGUUGCAUUAUAUAUACUUUCCUUGAAUUGAUUUUCCAAAUUUUAUUUUUGUCAACAAUAAGGGUUAUCUACGUUUUGGAAGAUAUCUUUAAUUUCCCCUCCAAAGAAUAAGUGAUCUUGAAACUUAUAAGUUAAUUAUGUUCACUUGAUCGAAUAAGAGAUUUGAACAAUCUUGUAAAAAGAUGUUAAGCAGAUGGUUGAUUUCGAAAUUAUCCUUUAAACUAUAAAGGGAAAUAGAAAAAAAUACUAUUAUUUUGGUACAAGACCAUAUUGUUUAGUAGUGUCUCUAGGGAGUUCCAUUAGAUGCUAUCAAACAAUUAAUUUGGUGUCUCACUAACGUAAUUUUGAGUUGUUGAAUUUUGGGUUUUGCAAACUCUAAUUGCUGGAGGUAGUGACACAACUGUUGUCUCUCUAACCUGGGUAUUCUCUCUUUUACUCAACAACCGCGACACCUAAAAAAAAGCUAAAAAAAAAAAAUAUUCAAGUUGGCAAGGAAAGAUUAGUGAAUGAACAAGAUAUAAGUAAGUUGGUCUAUCUUCAAGCCAUUCUUAAAGAAAUUGAGAAAAUAAAGGCUAAUCUUAAAAGAUAAAAACACCCAAGAGGGGGGUGAAUUGAGUUUUUAAAAAUUAUUUUUAAACACAACAAAUUUAAGCAUAAGAGAAUCAAAUAUAAAAAGAUAAGGUUAGAGAAAUCAAACUCAGAUUUUAUAAUGGUUCAACACUUCCUUACCUACAUCCACUCUCCUCAAGCUCUUAACCGAGUGAGGGUUCCACUAACAUGAAGUUUCAACCAAACUUCUAAUUACAUUUACACUUAGAUUCCGGCUCCAAUGGGCUCUUACACAAUCUCUUCAAGUUUCAACUCACUUAAAGACUUUAACACUAAGUUAACAAGUAUGAAUCUCUCAACUUAGCUCAACAAUGACUCAAAUACAACCCAAAGCUAGGAUGAAUCACAAAGGUGCACUAAAGGAUAUGUAAAUGGAGAUUUAAUGCACCAAGAAAAGAAAUGAGAGCUUUUAAGGCAAGAACAAAUAGGUAAGCAAAUAAAUGCAUGUGUUCUCUUACUCAUAAAUGAAGUGGAACUCUUUAUUUAUAGGUUUUUAACAUUAUAAGCCAAAAAACCAAAAAAACAGUCUCAAUCGGUUGAGCUGAGGGUCAAUCGGUUCACUAGCCAUUGCAGCAUUUAAUGCUUGUCAGGUGACAGUUACCCUCGACCGGGAAGACAAAUCCCUCGACUGGGAAGGAAAGGCUACUGAAAAAGAGAGAGUCUUUUUUGCACCUCUCGGUCGGACCUCAACAGGAAAGGGGGAGCCGGUCGACCGGUACCCUAGUCAAUUGAGCCUGUUUGGACAUAGCCUUGAUCGGUUCACAAUUUUUUACCCGAAAACCUAUCUUUUUCUAGUAUUUUUGCUUCAAACACAUAGGUAAGGUCUUCAGAUAAAAUAUAUGCCAAUUUUGAAACGUUUAGCUUAAGGUUCAUUUGAUAGAUCUCGGAUUUUGGUGAAAAUGUAACUUUAAAGCAUAAAUCGAGUUUUUCAAAGAUGCAUGAAAUAAUAUGUAAAUCCUAAGUGUAUCAAUGCAUUCAUCUUACAUAUGUUUCCUAUCAUUAAAGGUCUUUCCAAAAGUCUUGAUCUUGCAUCCAUUAGGUCAUUUGAUGAAUUUCCAAAUUAACACCUGAAAUUUUUUAUAAUUUAAACCAAUUAGUAACUUAACUAUGAUUUGUUAUCAUCAAAACAUGAUUAGGAGAACCCUUGGGCUAACAGAGACAUUACGGUUAUAUCCACCAAGACCACUUGGAGGACUAUGCCAAUUUAUUGAGGAUUGCACCUUGGGUGGAUACCAUGUCUUUAAAGACACUUGUUUAAUAAUGAACCUUUCGAAGAUCCAAAAUAUCCAAGAAUCUAGUUAGAUUCGAUAGAAUUCUAACCAGAGAGGUUUCUCAUCAACCAUAAGAAUGUUGAUCCUUAGGGAAAACAUUUUGAAUUUAUACCAUUUGGAGCUGGUCAAAGAGCAUGUCUAGGAAUAGCUUUUGGUCUUCAAAUAUUAUAUUUAGCAUUAGCUAGUUUCUUACAUGCAUUUGACUUUUCAACUCCAUCAAAUGAACAUGUUGAUAUGCGAGAGAGCUUUGGACUUACAAAUAUGAAAUCUAUCCCACUCGAAGUUUUCAUUUCUCAAAUCUACCCCACUUGAAAUCCUCAUUUCUCUACACUUAUCUUCUUGUAGUCUUUACAACUAAAACAUUGAAAUGAAGAGGUCAAAGUUGACCCAGCUAGUCUUGGUUUAAAGACAUAUAGAGUUAGGUUCAAUCAAUCUAUGAUAAGAUUUGAGAUUUGUAUUAAAAGUAGGUUGGACUAAGAAUGAUGUACAAUAAACUAAAGUACUAUCCAUGCAAAUAAAGUAUAACAUUAUAUAUUAUUUGGUUAGCAUUCUGAAAUGUAACAUCAUAAUUAUUUCUUUGUUUUGUCUAAUUUAUCGCCAUUUCACCCCCUCAUCUUCAUCAAAACAAAUAAUAUAUAGUCUUUCUAUUUUUAAAAAUCAAAUUCGAUUCCCAAUUAUAUAAGAAUUUUACUAUUACUUUAUAAUAAACUUUACUUUAGUCUUAAUAACUUUGACUUGUAAAUAUGUUCUCCAUCCUUAAUUAAAUAUACAGAUAAUUUCAUUCAUUUUUUCUAAGAUUGGAGUUAAAUUUACCCAUCCAUACUUAACUUGAAAUUUUCUUAAAUAUCUGUUUUUUUUUCAUUUUUUUUACACGUAUAUCUUUUAAUUUAAAAUAAAAAAUAUUUAAUAAAAUUUCAAAAUAAUAGUUGUCAGACAUAUUUAUGUGACAUUUUCGAAGAGGUGAAUGAAACUAAACUUUUCUUUAAAUAUAAAAUCAUAAAAAUUUAAUAUAUGCAAGCAUGAUCCGGUCUAAAUAUGAUAUAUAAUUUGUGUCAUUUCAAAAAAUCACAGAAGAUCCUUUUGGCAAAGUGGCCCCCCAUUUGAGUUGUAUUCCGUAAUUGGUCACCACAUGUUAUAUCAUUUCAAAGAUUAUGGAGGAUCAUGUUGCCAAUCAUUAUCAGAAGAAGUACAGCUUCCUCUAUAAAACUAAUCAAUACGAUAUUUAGCACAUGCAAACAAAUUUGGAAGGAUCUGAAAGUCAAGUCUACGGGCCACCCCUUUACGACUUGUUCGAAAAAGCACAAAUCAAUGGUGGUGCCACUUGCCAGCAGUCUGUUUCAAUAUCUAAAUGUUACCUCGGUAAGAUUGCUUGACAUACUUUUUGUCUCCUACUAUCUCAUGGAGAUCCAGAGUUGGUAAGAUAAGAAUAGCAUCCGAAGCUGCUGGUGCAUGGCCAAUAAUCGGUCACCUCCUCUUAGGUGGGUCACAACUUCCUGGGAUUUUUUAUAAAAUUACGGUAGAUUUAAAAUUAAUUUUUUUAAAAUGCAGCAUAUUAAUGCUUGACAGCUGACAGUUACCCUCGAUCGGAAAGACAAAUCCCUCGACUGGGAAGGAAAGGCUACUGAAAAAGAGAGAGUGUUUUUUGCACCUCUCGGUCGGACAUCAACAGGGAAGGGGGAACCGGUCGAUCGGUACCCUAGUCAGUUGAGCCUGUUUGGACAGAACCUUGACCGGUUCACAAUUUUUUACCCGAAAACCUUUUUUUUUUUUGGUCUUUUUGCUUCAAACACUUAGACAAUGUCUUCAGAUAAAAUUAUAUACCAAUUUUGAAACGUUUUGCCUAAGGUUCAUUUCAUAGAUCUCGGAUUUUGAUGAAAAUGUAACUUUAAAGCAUAAAUCGAGUUUUUCAAAGAUGCAUGAAAUAAUAUGUAAAUCCUAAGUGCAUCAAUGCAUUUAUCUUACAUAUGUUUCCUAUCAUUAAAGGUCUUUCCAAAAGUCUUGAUCUUGCAUCCAUUAGGUCAUUUGAUGAAUUUCCAAAUUAACACCUGAAAUUUUUUAUAAUUUAAACCAAUUAGUAACUUAACUAUGGUUUGUUAUCAUCAAAACAUGAUUAGGAGAACCCUUGGGCUAACAGAGACAUUACGGUUAUAUCCACCAGGACCACUUGGAGGACUAUGCCAAUUUAUUGAGGAUUGCACCUUGGGUGGAUACCAUGUCUCUAAAGGCACCCGUUUAAUAAUGAACCUUUCGAAGAUCCAAAAGGAUCCAAGAAUCUAGUUAGAUUCGAUAGAAUUCCAACCAGAGAGGUUUCUCAUCAACCAUAAGAAUGUUGAUCCUUAGGGAAAACAUUUUGAAUUUAUACCAUUUGGAGCUGGUCAAAGAGCAUGUCCAGGAAUAGCUUUUGCUCUUCAAAUAUUAUAUUUAACAUUAGCUAGUUUCUUACAUGCAUUUGACUUUUCAACUCCAUCAAAUGAACAGGUUGAUAUGCGAGAGAGCCUUGAACUUAUAAAUAUGAAAUCUAUCCCACUUGAAGUUUUCAUUUCUCAAAUCUACCCCACUUGAAAUCCUCAUUUCUCUACACUUAUCUUCUUGUAGUCUUUACAACUAAAGCAUUGAAAUGAAGAGGUCAAAGUUGACCUAGCUAAUCUUGGUUUAAAGACAUAUGGAGUUAGGUUCAAUCAAUCUAUAAUAAGAUUUGGGAUUUGUAUUAAAAGUAGGUUGGACUAAGAAUGAUGUACAAUAAACUAAAGUACUAUCCAUGCAAAUAAAGUAUAACAUUAUAUAUUAUUUGGUUAGCCUUUUGGAAUGUAACAUCAUAAUUAUUUCUUUGUUUUGUCUAAUUUAUCGCCAUUUUUUCCCUUUCUCUUAUUCCCUCAUCUUCAUCAAAACAAAUAAUAUGUAGUUUUUCUAUUUUUAAAAAUCAAAUUCGAUUCCCAAUUAUAUAAGAAUUUUACUAUUACUUUAUAAUAAACUUUACUUUAGUCUUAAUAACUUUGACCUGUAAAUAUGUUCUCCAUCCUUAAUUAAAUAUACGGAUAAUUUCAUUCAUUUUUUCUAAGAUUGAAGUUAAAUUUACCCAUCCAUACUUAACUUGAAAUUUUCUUAAAUAUCUAUUUUUUUUCCUUUUUUUUACACAUAUAUCUUUUAAUUUAAAAUAAAAAAUAUUUAAUAAAAUUUCAAAAUAAUAGUUGUCAGAUAUAUUUAUGUGAAAUUUUCGAUGAGGUGGAUGAAACUAAACUUUUCUUUAAAUAUAAAAUCAUAAAAAUUUAAUAUAUGCAAGCAUGAUCCGGUCUAAAUAUGAUAUAUAAUUUGUGUCAUUUCAAAAAAUCAUAGAAGAUCCUUUUGGCAAAGUGGCCCCACCUUUGAGUUGUAUUCUGUAAUUGGUCACCACAUAUUAUAUAAUUUCAACGAUUAUGGAGGAUCAUGUUGCCAAUCAUUAUCAGAAGAAGUGCAGCUUCCUCUAUAAAACUAAUCAUAUUUAGCACACGCAAACAAAUUUGGAAGGAUCUGAAAGUCAAGUCUACGGGCCACCCCUUUACGGCUUGUUCGAAAAAGCACAAAUCGAUGGUGGUGCCACUUGCCAGCAGUCUGUUUCAAUAUCUAAAUGUUACCUCGGUGAGACUGCUUGACAUACUUUUUGUCUCCUACUAUCUCAUGGAGAUCCAGAGCUGGUAAGAUAAGAAUAGCAUCCGAAGCUGCUGGUGCAUGGCCAAUAACCGGUCACCUCCUCUUAGGUGGGUCACAACUUCCUGGGAUUUUUUAUAAAAUUACGGUAGAUUUAAAUUUAAUUUUUUUAAAAUGCAGCAUAUUAAAAAAUAUCUUUGAAUAAUAAUAAUAAAAUGACAAAUAAUAAAAAGGAAAGAAAGUUGUCUUGUGGCUAUAAGAAAGAAUAAUAUAAAAGAGAGAGAAGAGGAGAGGCGGAUAGAGAGAAGAGUAGCAGGAAAAAAAAAAAAGAGAACAGGGAGGUGCAUGCUGCAAAUCUUUGGGUGUUCGUAUGACGAGCAAAACGAGUUAUGUUUUGCGUGAAAAUUAAGGUGAAAAUUUUCUUUGACAUGAGGAACAUUCUUUCAAAGUUUGAUUUUAAUUUCAAUGAUUGGAUUUUUUGAUUUGUGGUGAGGUAGUUUAAUCCUAUAACUUUUGUUUAAUAUUUUUUCUUAAAAAAAUAUUAUGGAUUUUAUUACUGGGAGAUAAAUAUGUGUUAUUUGUGUUUUCUUUAUGUUAUUUGAAAUAUGAUUAUUGUUAGGGUGGAUUAUUAUGAUUUUUUUUUUUUUUUAUGUUUGCAAUGAUUUAAUUGAAGAAAAAUUAUUGUGUUGAUUGUUGGAAAUUAUUCAAUAUAUUAAGAAUAAAUAAAAUUUAUAUGAUUAUGGUUUAGACUAUGUUUUGAUGAUAUAUAAAUUAUUGUGAUUUUUUUUGUGGUUAUUUAAUUGAAGAAAAAUUGUUGUGAUGUAAUUGGAAUUAUUGAUUAUGUUUGGAGUAAAUAAAAAUUAUGUCCUAUAAAAUUAUGGAUGAUAACAUGUAAGUUUAUUAUAUUUCAUAUAUGGUUAUAUGAAAAAAAAUGAUGAAAGAUUUUAUGAAAUGGAAAAAGGAAAAAAAAAGAAAAAAAAAAUGAUGAUGAAAAGUAAAAGCCCGUAAAAGACGAAUUAAGAAAGAAAUGAGAUUUCUAGUAUGAAAACUACAAAAAUUUAUCUUAUGAAAACUCUAAAUGGGGAGUGUAUUUGGUACAGAUGCAUAUCAUUAAGUGAAAACCCAAAAACAAUAGUUUGUUACUUUACUGAAUGUAAACAUUUGCAUCAUGUUUUUAUUUGGAAGAAUGACAUGUAUUAAUUACUUGAAUGACGUCAAUGGUAUGUUUGGAUAUAUUAUUAGAGAUUGAAAUGAUUUAUUUAUUUUGUAAAUUUAGAAUUGUUUGAUAUGUUAUUUAUAUAAUUGAAUAAGAAAUGUGAUAAUUUUGAUUAGUUUAAUUUUAUAUGGUUGAUUUUUUAUUUAAUGACUAUAAUGCAUUGUUUUGAAAAUUGGAUCGGACCAACCGGUUCAAUCGCCAACUGGUGAUCUUUCCGGUUCCAUCCUCUCCUUUAAACCGCUAGAUGGUUGAACCGACCACAAACCACUAUUGGCAGUUGGACCGAUGAACCGCUUGGACCAGGUGGUUUUUCAUGAACUGCAUGGCUCAAUUCCAGCCCAGUCUUCCCCCCAUUUUUUCUUUCAUCCAAAUAGUCCAACCUUCCCCUCCUCUUUUUCAUAGGGUCCAAGUGAAAGCCCAAUAAGCCCAGCCUUACAUCUUAAUGGUCUUUAGGCAAAACCUAAACCCAUUUAAACCCCUCAAUGGGUUGUACCUUUGAACCCAUUAGUUACACAAAUAGCUUGAAUGAACUGUGUUUUACGCGCAUAUUCACAUCCACAUCCAUGUGGGAUUGCUGCUAUUUUAAGUCUAAAGAAAAAGCAACGCCACUUAGCUACAACACAAUUUGAUGCAAGUCUAGAAAAUAAAAAAAUCAGCAUGUGUUUCAAAAAAGAUUAAUAAUAUUAAAUAAAAUAAUAUAAUAUUUUCUGAAAUUAUAAAAUUAGUUAAAGUUAAAUAAUUAAAUUUUUACAUAUUCCAUUUAAUAAAGUUCAAAAUAUUAAUAUAUUUAUAUUUAUAUUUUGAUAAUAUCAAAGAUAAAAAAUAAAUAUUUUUAAUUUUUUAAUUUAUAUAAUAUUAUAUUUUGACAUAUAAUUGUUUUCUAUUGACUUAAAUUUUUUAAUUCAUUUGGGUGUAAAACACCUUACAAAACAAUGUGAAAAUGUUCACCCCUUUAUUUUUAUAAAAUUUUUAGAUACAAAUAUAGUUUAUAAGGAACCAUAAGAAAAUCAAGAAGUGUUCCAAAAAGCCUUAACAAAUAAAAGAAAAAUAAUAAUAAUAAUUUUUAAUUUAUAUUACCUUUUUGACAUGUACUAAUUUGAGUUAUAUGAAUUUUUGUAACUUAAAUUAUAUUUUGUUAUUUUGUAAAAUAUUUUUGGAAAUAUUUUUUACUUAGAUUUAUGUAGAUAUUUGGGUUAAUUUGGGAUUAAAUAUUGAUCUAUUCACUGUCAAAUUGGAUAGGAAUAAACUUUAAGGUCAACCCUUUGACCUGAUAUCACUAGUCGGAUUCUGAGUUGCCUUGGGUGUGACUAUAAUGGAUUUUCUUCUCCAAUGCCUAAACCCUGUCAUGGUUGGAGCGUUUGCAAUACUCGUCCUCUCAUACCACCUGUUAUUAUGGAGGUCUGGAGCUGGUAAGAGCAGAAUGGCACCUGAAGCUUCUGGUGCAUGGCCCAUAAUAGGCCACCUGCACCUGUUAGGUGGAUCUAAGAAUUUGCCUCACUUACUUUUUGGAACCAUGGCCGACAAGUAUGGACCAGUAUUCAGCAUCCGGCUGGGAUUAAAAAGAGCUGUGGUUGUGAGUAGUUGGGAAAUGGCCAAAGAAUGCUUCACCACCCAUGACCUGGCUCUGGCCUCCCGUCCUGAGCUUGUGGCCGCCAAAUAUUUGGGAUAUAACUAUGCCAUGUUUGGUUUAUCUCCUCACGGUGCAUACUGGCGUGAAGUGCGUAAGAUAGCCACUCUAGAGCUACUCUCGAACCGCCGGCUAGAGUUGCUGAAGAAUGUCCGAAUCUCAGAGGUGGAGACAUGCAUGAAGGAACUAUACGAGCUUUGGGCAAAGAAGAAAAGCGAAGCAGGCGUUGUUUUGGUGGACAUGAAGCAAUGGUUUGGGCACUUGUCUCUGAACGUGAUUCUUAAGAUGGUUGUUGGAAAACGAUAUUUCGGUUAUGCAGCCGAAAGUAAAGAGAAAGAGGCCCAGCAGUUCCAGAAGGCGAUUAGGGAAUUCUUUCGUUUGAUGGGACUCUUUGUGGUGUCGGAUGCCAUUCCUUUUCUUGGAUGGCUUGACGUGGGUGGACAUGUGAAAGCCAUGAAGAAGACUGCAAAAGAAUUGGACGGUAUUACUCAGGAAUGGUUAGAGGAACACCGACGGCGAAAAGAUUCGGGUGAAGCUGAUGGUGACCAGGACUUCAUGGACGUGAUGCUGUCCAUUCUGGGUGGUAGAGACACUACUGAUUAUGAUGCUGAUACCAUCAACAAAGCUACAUCCCUGGUAUGCACAUUAUUCCUUUAGCAUCUUUAUAUGGUAGUAAAAAAUGAGACAUAAUUUCAUGCUUUAUCAUCUUUAGUCCAGACUCAAGAGUACUUGGGCCUGGGUUGGAAGAACUUCUUAUUUUUGCUUAGUUUCAAGUUGAAACUAAUCAAAAGCAGCGAUUUUUAAAAGGUAAUUAUAAUAGUGGUGUUAUUAAAGGUCAAACAUAAAUAACUUUUUGCAUAAAUCAAAAUAGAGUUUAUAUAUAUAUAUAUAUAUAAAAUAUUUUUCUGAUCUUCAUAUUAAUUUUUCUAAGUCAUAACUUUUUUGAACAAAAUUAGUCAAACCAUAGAACUCUUGAACUUACAGAAAAGGGCUUUCGAUUUCUUAGAAAUAGAUACAUGAAGAGUUUUGUUAUAUGUUUGUUUUUGUCAAAAGAGUAACAUGAGCAGCUUAGACAAGCAAUUAGAAUGAAAUACAACUGGGCUGAGAAGCUGAGUAGAACUAGAAUUAUGUACAACCUCUUGCUAGGAUAAUUGGGUUGGACUUGUAAUGAUAGAGUUCUCCGUUGGAGUUAGGUGGCCCAAAAAGAUUGUGCUGUUUGAAUAGCUGGUCCUCUAAUUUAGGAAGAGGCAGCCGAAUUUGCAACGCUGGGUGGCUGGGCCCAUAGAAAAUAUUCUUGUCAGAAGAUUGUGAAAGUAUGUUCCUUAGUCCGCAAGGUUUGAGGCCUCUUUGAGUGGGCUUCUAGAGUCGGUUAGACAAUUGGGCCUUUCAAAGGAUUUCCUAAAUUUACAAUUUUUUUAGCCCAACAUGAAUUUUUAUAAAAUGCUAUAUUUAUACGUGAGUUUCAUAUUCAAGCUAAACAUACCCAUUUUGAUUGGAAAAAAAGGGAAAGAACAUGGGGCCUUUUUUCCACCCUUAAUCUUAUCACUACUUUUAAUUUUAUUUUAUUAGUUAAUGGUUUGUAUUUCACAGGUUAUGAUUGGAGGAGGCGCUGACACUACAUCUGGUACUUUAACAUGGGCAGUCUCACUUUUAUUGAACAAUCCACACAUAUUAAGAAAAGCUCAAGAAGAAUUGGAUGCUCAUGUUGGUAAAGAAAGACUAGUAAAUGAAAUGGAUAUAAGCAAGUUGGUUUACCUUCAAGCAAUUGUUAAAGAGACAUUGAGGUUAAAUCCAAUAGCCCCACUUUCAGGACCGCGUCAAUUCAUCCAAGAUUCUAUUUUAGGUGGUUACCAUAUCUCAAAAGGCACUCGUCUUAUAUUGAACCUUACCAAGAUUCAAAGAGACCCGAGAGUAUGGUUGAACCCAAUGGAGUUCCAACCAGAUAGAUUCCUCACCACCCACAAAGAUGUUGAUGUUAGAGGUAAACAUUUUGAGUUGACACCAUUUGGUGGUGGAAGAAGAAUUUGCCCUGGAAUAGUUUUUGCCCUUCAAGUGCUACACUUAACAUUAGCCAACUUCCUGCAUAGAUUUCAACUUUCAACUCCAUCAGAUGCACCGGUUGAUAUGAGCGAGGGUUUUGGAUUAACAAACAUCAAAUCCACUCCACUUGAAGUUCUUAUCUCCCCACGCUUAGCUUCUUAUGAUCUUUAUGAGUAGAAUUUGAGGUCGCUAAGAGACUUAUUUCAAAAAACCUAGUACUAUGAAAUGUGAAAUAAAAAUAAAUUUCAUAGCAUAAGUUUAGUAUUAUUUUAAAAUAGUUACUAAUGUCUGUCCUUUAAUAUUGUCUUAGCUUGAAUUUAAUGAAAAAUAUUUUCGACACUUAUUUUGUGUGGACAAGUAAUGACCCAAUUUCUUGUUAUGUUUCUUCAUUCUUCCAUGAAAGAGAAUUUAGAAGAAAAAGUGGCAUAUAGCAUUACAAUUGAAAAAUUAAUAAGCAUGUACUCCAUAUGCAUAGUAGACUUAAUGAGUUUCCAAGUUGAUUAAUUGGUAUCUCCUUUUGAUAGAUUUCAGCCACCUUUUUGUACAUGAUUAAAGUAGUAAUGGAGACUAAAAUUACAACUCCCAUUUCAUUGUAAAAAGUUGGGAUGUGCAAGGUGGGUCAGUUCAAUUUUGGGCAUUAAAAUCAAAUCGAAUUGAACCCAAAAGAGGAAAAUGAUUAGUUUGACUUGAUUAACAAUAAUCUAAGUUGGUUUAUUUUGCUUCUAUUUAUAACAUCAAUUUUUUUUUUUAAUUUGAACGAAAAUAAUAUUAUUGAAGCAAGUCAUCUUUGGACGGUUGAAAUGAUAUUAUUACAACUAAUUUCAAAUCAUAUUAUUAUAACUUAAUGAUGUGAAUAGGUAUUAUUGUAACCCAUGUCAAUCAUAUCAAAUAGUCCAAGUCAUAGAUAAAAGUUAUAAAGGUGUGAUUGGGAGUUCCAUCCAAUGUGAAAAAUGUAUACCCAAUUAAUGAUGUAACCAAUUGUUAUACUGUAUAUUAUUACUGUGUGUAUAACUUUCAAUUCAAUUCAGUUUGGUUCAUUAAUUUUUUUAAUAGGUAAUUGAAUUGGUAUAACUUGGUUUUAUAUUUAAAAAACCAAAUUUAUUAAAAAAUAAAAUCUUAAAAAAUUAAUAGAUUUGGGUCAAUUUCAUUGAUUUUGCCAAUUGUACACCCUAAAAGAAGGGAUGUCCACUUAUCAUCCAUAAACUUUGUGUACUCCUAAGUUACAAUUUUGCCCCAUGUGAUUCACAUUUGUACUUAUUAUACUCAAUUUUCCGUACAAAUGAUUUAUUAUUUUGCAGAAUUUUACUCCAUGAGAUUCACAUUUGUACUUAUUAUUACCAACUUUGUCUGCUCUUAAGUUACAAUUUCUCCUAAUUAGAUUCACAUGCGUUACUGCCAUAAUUGACUUUCCACAUUUAUGCAUGAAUUAUUAUGUCAAUAGAUGCAUUAUCAUUUUGUCAAGUUAAUCUGACUUAGGUUAAUCACCAAAGGCAAGGUGAAUUAAUUGACUCAAUUUUAAUAAAUUUUAAUUUAACUAAGUGCAAGUAAUAAUAAUAAAACAGUUAAAAAAUACAUAAUUAAAUAACUAAAAAGAAGAGAUAACAGGUACAAACUCCGAUUUAUAUUUUGCUCAAUCCCAUACUCUCCUCAAGCUCUCAAAUGCAAAUUGAGGGUUCCACUAGCUUUUAAGACUUCAAUCAAAUCUUAAUCCUUUACACUUGGAUUCUCAAUUUCAAUGAUCUUUUUACACUUUAAUUCAAGAAAUUCCUCACUCUUGAACAUACUCAAAGGUAACACUUGAACAACAUUGAUCUCACAAAAUUUUAUUUACAAAUAAUAUAAAUGAAAACUUAAAUGGUUUUUCUUGGCUAGGAUUUCUAAGUUAAUAAGGAUUUUUGCAUUAAAAAGAAAUAGUUAAAAUCAAUUGGGUUUUGUAAGAUUUUGAUAUAUAUCUUAGUUUGCGAGUUUUUUGGGAUUCUAUUAUAAUCUUAUUGUUUUAUCCUAAAAUUGUCAAAAAAAGAAAUCAGUAAUUUAGUAUGGCAAUUUUACUCCAAAGAUUAUUGAUUAAAAAUUAUUUUACUAAUACCAACGUGUAAGAGUUAAAGGCAUAAAAUUGAAAUUAAAGUAAGUUUAUUAUUUUGGAUUUGGUUAAGUAAUGACAAGAUUAAUAAUUGAAAUUAAUGUAAAAAGAAGUGUAAAAACUUUAAAAGUUUAAAAUAUCAUUUCAUUAUUAAUUAGUUUCCACUUGCCAACAUAGACUUCUCAUUCUAUUCAAACAAGUUUUUUGUACUUUUAUAUAUAUAUAUAUAUAUAUUUCAUAAACUUAACAAAGGAUACAAACAACAAAAGAAAAAAAAAAUUGAGCUACUAAACCUCAAUAUAAAUUUGGGGUGAAUUAUCAAGGUCUAUUAAGGAGCAUGGGGAAGUGUUGUAUCACAUAUCGAUGUGAAGAAGGUGUAUAUAUAUUUAUAGUAUAGGACCUAAGAUGUGAACGUUUCUUUUAAAGUUAGGUAAACAUUUCUUUCAAAAUUAAUGGAAUCUCACUAUGAUUUAUAUACACAUGCUUUCAGUGUCCAUAGAGGUUGAAAUAAUACGAUGAUUUUUAACUUAUAUCUUGCUUUUUAUAUGUGAUUUAAUAUUGUUUUGGAUUAUUGAUUAUGACUCAUGAAUUAUCAUGCAUGGAACUAAUCAAAAUGAUAUAAUUAAAUUAUAUUAAUGAAUUUGAGAUAGACAUGACAAUUAUUAAUUUAAAAUAUCUUAUAUGAACAUAAAAUUUUAAAUAUAGACUCAUAAUUUAUAUAUAUUAAUAUAAUAAAGUUGAAAAACUACGUUUAUCUCAAAUUUAUGCCUAGGGCCCAAAUUUUGCUGAGAGCCAGCCGGAUGUCAUCACAUGCAAGAAAGCUAGGAAACAAAGCUAAAGUUUGCUUCUUGUGUGGGAAGAGGUACUUCCGUGCUUGACUGAAAGAAAGGAUUUUCUACAAGAAAAAUUGUCCCCUUGUUUGUAAAGCCUCAAGUUGCGACAGCAAUAACGACAAAAGUAGGCCAAAGAAUUUGUCAUUAUUAUGAGACUAGAGAGGUUUUACUGAGAAGUUUUCCGAGCGUGAUAUCAGCAUUCGCUGUAUCACAGUGAUACAACAAAUGGUUUGAACACAGUGAUCUAGAACCCAUUAGCUCAAAUUUCAUUGAUCUGAACACGAUGAUCCUCAUCCGCAGACCAUUUUAGGGAAUGAUUAAUUCGAGCGAUUUUUUAACUGCCUGUACGAAGAACUUUAUCAAAAUUGGAUUCAGUGUAUCUUAACCAAUCUUGAUCAGUAUGCGACUGAUGAUUCUAUUUGAUAAAAGUAAUGCGGUGGCCCAACUUUAUCUUAAUUUCUAUGUUGAAAGUAACCAUAUAUUAUUCUAUAAUUAUAAAUAUAUACUGUGGAAUCAAGAUAACUUUGAUAUGCUAAGGAUCAAAAGAGGGCAGCCACUUUAGUAGUGGAUUAUACUAAAUAAAGCUGAUCGAUUAUUACAUUGGAAAAUAACAUUGAACCUAUCAUGAAAGACAACCCUACUGGACCAUGCCCCGAGUACUAAAUGCUGAUAAAAAACAAGUACAUGUUCCAAAGGAAUUGAGUCCAUAUAUACACAUUAGUGCUCAAAGAGAAAAACUAUAUAUCCACCGCUUAACUACAGUGAUCCUUUGAGCAGAAGAAGCUAGCCAUGUAUUUCCUUCUCCAAUACCUAAACAUCACCACGGUCGGAGUCUUUGCCACACUUUUCCUUUCCUACUGUCUAUUAUUAUGGAGGUCUAGAGCUGGUAACAAAAAAAUAGCACCUGAAGCUGCUGCUGCAUGGCCCAUAAUCGGUCACCUACACCUGUUAGCUGGUGGUUCUCAUCAGCUUCCCCACAUAACCUUGGGAAACAUGGCCGACAAAUAUGGACCGGUCUUCACAAUUCGGAUUGGGUUGCAUCGAGCUUUGGUGGUAAGUUCUUGGGAGAUGGCUAAAGAAUGCUCGACCGCCAAUGACCAGGUUUCAUCCUCGCGUCCCGAACUUUUAGCCUCAAAACAUUUGGGCUACAACUACGCCAUGUUUGGUUUCUCUCCAUACGGUUCUUACUGGCGUGAAAUGCGCAAGAUAAUCAGCCUAGAGCUACUCUCUAACAGCCGCUUAGAGCUGCUGAAGGACGUCCGAGCUUCAGAAGUGGUGACAUCCAUAAAAGAGCUAUACAAGCUCUGGGCAGAGAAAAAAAAUGAAUCGGGCCUUGUCUCUGUGGAGAUGAAGCAGUGGUUUGGAGACUUGACUCUGAACGUAAUUCUUAGGAUGGUGGCAGGGAAGCGUUAUUUCAGUGCUUCAGAUGCAAGUGAAAAUAAACAGGCGCAGAGGUGCCGGAGAGUGUUCAGGGAAUUCUUUCAUUUGUCAGGGCUCUUUGCGGUGGCGGACGCUAUUCCAUUUCUUGGAUGGCUCGACUGGGGGAGACAUGAGAAAACCCUAAAGAAGACAGCAAUAGAAAUGGACAGUAUUGCUCAAGAAUGGUUAGAGGAGCACCGUCGGAGGAAAGACUCCGGUGAUGAUAAUAGUACGCAAGACUUCAUGGAUGUGAUGCAGUCAGUUCUUGAUGGCAAAAACCUUGGUGGUUACGACGCUGAUACCAUCAAUAAAGCCACAUGCAUGCCUGGUAUGAGUUAUUAAUGAAGCACCCACGUACCAUUUAUAUUUGCAUAUUAUCAGGGCUAGCUUCUUUUCCACAGACAGUUUUUCUUUUGUUUAUAUGUUUUAAUUGAUGCAUAUUCACUUUCUUCUUCUCUUAAUUAAAUUGCAAUAAUUAAACAUACAAUUUAAAUAAAUUUUAAAUUUUAUUUUUAACUAAAAACAAAAGUAUACAUAUACAAAUAUAUAUUGCUUAAGCAAUUAAUUUUUAAAAAUUAUUCUUUCAGAACACCUUAGACAAGUUGAGACAUGCUUCGAGGGAAAUCUAAAUAUAAUGAUUUUAAAAGCUACUUUGUAAUUUUAUUUUCGAGCAUGUUGCAUAAUAUAUGCUUUCCUUGAAUUGAUUUUCUAAAUUUUAUUUUUGUCAGCAAGAAAGGGUUAUCUACGUUUUGGAAGUUAUCUUUAAUUUCCCCUGCAAAGAAUAAGUGUGUGGACCCUGCAUUUCGGCUCAAUGCGUUUCCCACUCGAUGGCGAGCUCGAUUUUUAUUUGAAAAAUGAUUUUUAUUGAUUAUUUAGAAAAUGACUUGGAGUCGCCACUUAUUUUUGUUUUAUUUUUAAAGGGUAAACAAAAUAAGAAAGAAAAACCCUAAGUGUGACUCCUUAUUUUGGAAAAGGUGGUCUGUGAAAAACUGAAUCGGGUUCAGGGGUCAGGUUACUUAUUGGGAAGGUACGGUAUGGACCGUAGCACCCCUCUAAGUCCCUAAAGUCGGGUCUCUACUAAUGAGAUGAAGCUGACAUGGCAAUCAAUGAGAAAAUCAAUGAAUACUCGAAUCAAUCAUGCACAUAUGAGAGACAAAGCAUGUAUAAAGAAUGAGCAAAAUAUGAAUAGAUGCGUACCUGGGCGACAAUCACGAAUGCGCUAUCAUGAAACAUGGUUAGUGAACAAUAAACAUAUAUAAUUAAGCGCAUAUCAAGGAAUAGAGUAAAUCAAUCAUGCAUGACAAAUAAAUCAAUCAAUCAUGGAAUCUCAUAUGUAGGGCCCCCACCAAAACCCAAUUCAUUUUUGCAUGAAUCAAUUCCAUAAAUUCCAUCACUUGGAAUUACGGAAUUUAAUUCUUACUUAUUUUUAAAACAUUUUAAAAACCAAGAAAAUGCACAAGUGGCUUGCCGGAAGGAAAAUGGCAACCAAAUUUUAUUGAAAAUGGGAUUUAAGAAGAUUAUUUUCAAGAAAACAGGGGAUGAGAGAAUAGAAGGAAAUGGCACAUGGUCAAGAGCUGCAUGCCUAAGGUGGCCAUGCAAAAACACUUCCCUCUAAGCUCAGGGUGGAGGGACUGCACUAUAAGGAUCAGUGGUGCUGCAGAGCUUGUCAGAACAGCUGAUGGCAUCAUAGGUGUUGCUCCUGAUUGCCUGAAAGAAUUCAUCUCUAAUGGACGGAAUCGAUUGCUCUACAUGAUUAUUCCAGAAGGUAAUGGUUGAGUCCUUAGCUUCACGAACCCAAUUUUUUAUGUCAUUACUUCCCAUCAAACUACCAUGACAUAGGAGCCACACUGAGCAAACUGAUGAGCCCGCUGCCCCACAUGUAUAGGGAAUCCAGUACAAAGUUAAUUUCCGCGGUUUACGAUGUUCGGAAACAAGGAUACUUAGGUAAGAAUCCAGCUUAUACAUGAUAAAUCACGNNNNNNNNNNNNNNNNNNNNNNNNNNNNNNNNNNNNNNNNNNNNNNNNNNNNNNNNNNNNNNNNNNNNNNNNNNNNNNNNNNNNNNNNNNNNNNNNNNNNGUGGAUGCCGCCUAUGAUACUAGCCUCAGAAAUCAUGCCAUUGACAUCGUUGUGCUUGUUACUAUUGCCAUCUCUAUCUCACAUGUGAGAGCCCUUGAUGGAAUCAAUUAAAAUAAUCCUUGAUAGAAACGUGGACUUCAUGUCUCAAAUCUGGCCUUUCAUAUCUCCUCAUUUGUCCAUGUCAACUAUUGUCACCAAGCCAUAAGCCUCUUGAUCCCAUGAUAACCCCAUUAUUCAACCCAAUACUUCAAUGAUGAUUCUCUUUCAUUUGCAUUCCUGACCUUCUCUUAUCUCCAUUACUGAUCCCAUGGAUGUUUACAGGAUUGAGUAUUUGGACGAGAGCAAACUUUGAUUAGAACCCUGUAUCAUGUUGAGUCUCUGCCAGCCUGGAAGGAUAAAAAUCACGUUGCCCCAUAUGGUGAGUUUUACUUUGAUUUACUCUUCCUCCUUGAUUCGUAUAAUGCAAGAAGGACAGGAGUUAAAAUGUCACGGAUAGCAUGAUGGCAAUGCCCAAAAGUAGCGUCAGUGUACAUUUGAGUCAAACGCGACUCCAUAUCAAACAUUGGCGGCCAGCGUCCAAGUCAAAGGGACGUAGUGCCCAUAAUUCACUGUUGAUAUUCUUCUUUCUGGGGAUGGAACAGAUCCAACUUCAAGGAUUGGGUGAGUCUCCUAAGAACUUUUCAUAAGGAUGGAUGACUGCCCAACAAUGCACUCAGGUUCCAUCAUUGCAAAGCCUCAACAGACUGCAUGCACCAUUCGUCGCGUACCUCACGACAAAUGUGAGUCUGGUUAAUCCCGUAGGAGGACUCCAAGCAGCAUGCAUAACGUACCUCUUCGGAAUAUCACAACGAGACCCACUGGUGCCCUCGUCUGAAUACCCCUCCGCCUCUCAUUCAAGUAAUGGGUGUUGGACCCAUGUAUGCAUGCAAAGAUGGAGGAGUGAAGUGGUGAGAGAAAGGAUGUAUGGAUUUAGCUGCGAGUAAGGUCACGGGUAUGGGAGGAUGGAUGCGGUGAAGACCUUUGAGGGUGAUGAAAAAUGGUGCAUGGAGUAAGAUAGGCUAAAGUGGAAAUGCGUGGUAGAAUGGGCAUAGGAGUAUCAUGAGAGAAGUGUGCAGGGACUACAUGCAUGUGGGUGGCUAGGGAAGUAAAAGAUGGGUUCAACAGUGAAACGUAUGGGAAUGAUGAGAGGGAAAGCGGAUUAGCAGAUGGGGUUAAUGAGUGAUAUGAAGAAUGGGGUAUGAGACCUGGGUAUAAGGUGAAAUGAAUAUGACAUGGUUAUGCAUGGCCAUGCCAUGGCCAUGCAAGAACAUGAUGGAAAGGGAGUGACGGAUGUAUGAAUAAUGGAGAGCAUGAGGAGGUAUGGGAUAGAUGAACAGGGCUGGAUGGUGGAUGAUGAAUAAGUAAUGGUGAAAUGGGUAUGAAAGAGUUUGAAGAGAGAGAAAAGGUGGUAAUGUGGAAUGGGUUUGAUAGGUGGGAGUACAAAGUGGGUAUGAAGAUGGGUAUGAAUGGUUUAGUAGGUACGAGACAAAUGGGUUAGAUGGAGGGUAUAAUGGGUGAUGUAAUGAUGGAAACCCGGGCGUUUAUUCAUCUUUGGAGGCACGAUACCCGGGUCAUGAACAGAUGGAUCACACUUCUUGGCCAGCUGCAUUCAGGCCAUAGUCAAUACAACCGACUUCGCUACCUCCAUUUCCAGGCACAGUGAUUGACACAAAGGAAGGUAACUUCCCAAUAAUCAAGCUUCUUUCGAUACAAGGUCUGCAUGGCUUAGCCGAGUUCAGUUUAGUUGGGUGUCGAAUCCCAUUGGUCAGUAGACCCAUUUGGAGCGAAACUGAACCCUUUAAUCCAAAUGGACCGUUACAGAGAGCACAAAGCAGCAGUAGGAUUAGCAAGACCCAGAGCAUAAGAGCGGGCUGUGACCAUGGCAGAGAUUCCAAAUUAGAAAGCAAGCACAAAACCAUCCAUGGAAGAGGUUAUCCAAGGUUUUGGAUGCUUAUGAAGUUUUCCCGCAAGUUGAACGAAUCUGUAACAGAGUGCCUUCUGAUCUAACCUGCAUAGUUUCAACAUGUACCACACCAUCCCCAUUCACGGUACCUCCAAUCACUAUGUCACCCUUCUUUCUUCGCCAUAGGCCUAGCAUCCUCUGUGAGCAUGUUCUUGAACCCACAAUCUCCCGCUUUACCUCAUGGAAACAUGUCAACCAAAAUAGCCCACCCAUCAAGUGACUGAUUCAACUCUGAUACCCGACAUCUCAGAUGCACCAACAACAGAAGCACAAAAGGGUAGGAAAUGGGGCCAAAACAGAAAAGAACGAAGGAAGGAUAAACGAGGAAUAAAGUAAAACAUAAGUGUAUAGAGCCUCAUUUCAGGUGACAUCCAUGGGCUUAUACAAGUGAGGAGAUCUCAAGUUAGAGUUACAGAAUAUAUGAGGAACCGAGUUCUAUUAACUCCAAGCCAAACCACAAGAACAGCAGUAAAAUCAACAACAAUAGAGUAUAAAAACGAUCCAGAAAUCAACAAAAUUCAGUACGUAUGACCCAACUCAAAUUGAUGAGCAAUGCAGAGCAAACCAAAAUGAGAAAAGGGUGAGAAAAAUAUGAAUCAAAGUAAGCAAGAAACUCACCUCAAACUCACCUGCAGACGCUCCUCUCUCUAUUCCUUCAUUCUCUAAGCUUCAGCUAGCCAAAAACAACGCCCAGAAUCUCCGUCACACAGCCACCCAAAACCUCCUCCUCUGCAGCCUCGAACCUCUCUGCCAACAAACAGCAACCAAAAGCACCUCCCCCUCUCGGAAACUUCUUUCUCCCUAAAAAAAAACUCUCAGACCAGCCUCUCUAAAGCUCCCCCUCUCUCAAGUUCACCGUCCAAAAUUACUCCUCUCAUGGAAAAACUCCCUGGAAUCCCCUCAGCAGCCCCGGUACCUCCAGCUAAAAGAAAAUCACCCCCCCCGGUUCUCAUGUCUCUCUCACCUUUUUUUCUCUCUAGCCAAAACCAGCUUUCUUUUCCUCCCUUUGGAAAUAUCUCCCUAACGGCCAGACGACACCCACCUGCCUUGCAGCUGCAAGCCUCCACUCCCCCCUAUGCAGCUGGCAGCCUCCCAAAAUCAACCCAACAAAAGCUCUUCCCCUAAAGAUUUCUGCCACCUUCCUCUUCUAGGCAAUAUCUCUUUUCUGUCCCGGAUUUGCCCCUCCAACAAUCCCUGUAGCCACCUCCAGCACCACUACACUCUGCAUGCAACUGGCAACACCUCCUAACGGAAAGCACGCUCCCUUCUUCUAGAAUGUUCUUCACUUUCCAGGUGUCUUCCUCUUAUUAGUCCAUCAAUUCCACCAUAGUGAUUCCACUAGUAGCCAACCCGAGAGUGACACGUGGCCAUGCGAGAUGGUGACACUUGUCCAGCAUCAGCUGCAAGAAUGACUCCCAAAAUGGGGGUCUACAACUAUGCCCAUUUUCGGUAGAGUUCACAAGUGUAAGGAAAAUGAACACUGGAAUGAAAGGUAGGUGUGAAUAGUGAGUGGAAUGAAGUGAACUCUACCGAAGAACCAAGGAGACCCCCAUAGGGACACUAGCAAAACACGAAUUCGCUCAGGCUGACAGACUGACACAAAGGCUCUGAUCCUAAAACAAAAUGAUGUCUCAAAAUGCCUCUGAGGCCAUACUAAGGAUCCAAGCUCCCUUUAACAUGCCUCCAAAAGUGACCCGAAGAUCGAUGUCAAAAGUGAGUAACGGUCGAACCACCCUGGAGUACGAACAAGAAUGCGUCUAAAGGAGACUGCCCUAUGUGGACUAUGAGAUGAAUAGGUGAUAAGCACAGGGUAACGAGGUGAGAAGAGUGAGAAUAAGUGCAAAUCCAUGAAGGUGAGAUGCGCAAUGCCAGUGAAUAUGAACGCUAGGGGCUGCGACUCUGAAUGACGAGACUGACCCUAAACGCUAAACUGAGAAAAACAAUGGCUCUGGAAGCCAGACCAAAAACUAACUCUAAAAACUAAACUAGAAUAACAGCUCUGGAAGUCAACCAAAAACUAACUCUAAAAGCUAAACUAGAAAACAACAGCUCUGGAAGCCAACCAAAAACUAACUCUAAAAACUAAACUAGAAAAUAACAGCUCUGGAAGCCAACCAAAAACUAACCCUAAAAGCUAAACUAGAAAACAAACAGCUCUGGAAGCCAACCAAAAACUAACUCUAAACUAGAAAAUAAUAGCUCUGGAAGCCAAACUGAAAACUAACUCUAAAAGCUAAACUAGAAAACAACAGCUCUGGAAGCCAAACCAAAAACUAACUCUAAAAACUAAACUAGAAAAUAACAGCUCUGGAAGCCAACCAAAAACUAACCCUAAAAGCUAAACUAGAAAGUAACAAACAGCUCUGGAAGCCAACCAAAAAACUAACUCUAAAAACUAAACUAGAAAAUAACAGCUCUGGAAGCCUAAACAAGUCGACAGUAACGACUCUGGAAGCCUAAACAAGAUGAUAGUAAUGGCUUUGGAAGCCUAAACAAGAUGACGGUAACGACUCUGGAAGCCUAAACAAGAUGAUAGUAAUGGCUCUGGAAGCCUAAAUAAGAUGACGGUAAUGGCUCGGAAGCCUAAACAAGAUGACAGUAACGACUCUGGAAGCCUAAACAAGAUGAUAGUAAUGGCUCUGGAAGCAUAAACAAGAUGACAGUAAUGACUCUGGAAGCAUAAACAAGAUGACAGUAAUGGCUCUGGAAGCAUAAACAAGAUGACAGUAACGACUCUGGAAGCCUAAACAAGAUGAUAGUAAUGGCUCUAGAAGCCUAAACAAGAUGAUAGUAAUGACUCUAGAAGCCUAAACAAGAUGAUAGUAACGACUCUGGACGUCGAAACUAAAAAGUGAUGAUGAUGACUCUGAACGUCAAACUGAGAAGUGAUAACGACUCUGAACGCCAAAACCGAGGAUGCGACUCUGAAUGUCGAUCUGAAAACCGAUGAUGGCUCUGAACGCCUAAACUGAGAAAUGAUGAUGAUGACUCUGAACGUCAAACUGAGAAGUGAUAACGACUCUGAACGCCGAAACCGAGGAUGCGACUCUGAAUGUCGAUCUGAAAACCGAUGAUGGCUCUGAACGCCGAAACUGAGAAGUGAUGAUGAUGACUCUGAACGUCAAACUGAGAAGUGAUAACGACUCUGAACGCCGAAACUGAGGACGCGACUCUGAAUGUCGAUCUGAAAACCGAUGAUGGCUCUGCACGCCGUAACUGAGAAGUGAUGAUGAUGACUCUGAACGUCAAACUGAGAAGCAAUGAUGAUGACUCUGAACGUCAAACUGAGAAAGUGAUAACGACUCUGAACGCCGAAACCGAGGAUGCGACUCUGAAUGUCGAUCUGAAAACCGAUGAUGGCUCUGCACGCCGUAACUAAGAAGUGAUGAUGAUGACUCUGAACGUCAAACUGAGAAGCAAUGAUGAUGACUCUGAACGUCAAACUGAGAAAGUGAUAACGACUCUGAACGCCGAAAUCGAGGAUGCGACUCUGAAUGUCGAUCUGAAAACCGAUGAUAGCUCUGAAUGCCGAAACUGAGAAGUGAUGAUGAUGACUCUGAACGUCAAACUGAGAAGUGGCUCUGAACGCCGAACUGAAAAAUGUGACAUGAUGACUCUGAAUGUCGUAAACCGUGAAUGAACGGCGACUCUGAACGCCAGACUGCAAGGAAACAAUGUGGGGGAAAUAUGCCCCAGUGUGACAUGCCGCUGCAAAUCUCAAACUGCUAGAAAUGGCUAAAAGGGACUCUACGAGUCUCGAAAGACGCACCACUAAGAGCUCAUGUCAAUGAAGAGCUCAGGAACAACGGUCAGUGAGGCGAAUACAAUAUAUCUCGGCCGAGUGAUGGAAACCGCGACGGACAUGUGAGAGAACGAUCGCCUCCAUGGCUAAAUGAGGGAAAUACGCCCCAGUAUGGCAUCAGAUGUACCCGAUCUGCCCUGAUGACCCGAGAAUAACACCAUGGGGAUGCAUAAAAGACCUGAUGUGUACCGCACUGAAAUGAUGACAUGGGGAUCCAAGCACUCGACAUAACCCCAUCCAGGAAUCACGACUAUAUCAAAGAGUAUGAAUCUGGCUGAACGAGUCAAGAGAGGCUCCUCGGAGUAUCAGGACAAAAUGAAAUCAAUCAUCAACCUGGCGUGUAUCUCAUAACUGUGGAUGAUCAUGUAAACCAGUGGGGAUCUAUAAAUCUCGAUCAAGAUGGGGAAUAUGCCCCAGUGUGGCAUCGGAAAUGUAACAUGUCGAAAAAUCAGCUGAGCUCAAAUCAUCUAUGCCUGCAACUAGCUAGAUGGCUCUCGAUAGGCUCCACUAAGGAAUCAUCGCGAGGAUAGCGAAUAUAUCAUCAUCCCUGUAUACAUCUCGCAAAUAAGGAUAAGCACGCAACUUCCUCAUGAUCUGUAAAUCUCAUCCGAACGGAAAUAUGCCCCUGUAUGGCAUCGAAAUGUAGGAUAGGUCGGAGAUCAGAUAGCAUGGAAUCAUCUAUCUUAGAACAUGUGACCUCUGCGAAAAUCCAUAAAGAUCCUCCGAAACGGAAUAUGCCCCAGUAUGGCAUCUGACGUGCGACAAACCAGGAAAAACAGGUGACAUCGAAUCAUCCCUCAUCAAACACGUGAUCCUGGUAAUCCAAACACGGUCGAAACGGAUCUAAACAUCUGAGAAGUGUUUCUCAGAAGAAGAUGCAUGGCAAAUAUCUGGAUGUCAACUGAAUCUCAAACACCUGUCCACAUAGAAGCCGUAGAAGACGAUAUCUGAUCCCAUGGCCUCAGGGUGGUCUUAAGACACAGGACGUAAUGUAGGCUAGGGUGAUAGGGUGAUAGAAACGAAGGGAAACUAAGCUCAAAUACCCAAUGAUCAAAACCCAUGCCCUCGUGUGUGAAAUGCAACAUGUACAGAAAAUCCUGUGAGCCCUGGACCUGAGGGUGUCUAAUGUGAAUAUGAUGUCAAUGAGGAAACAAGUGAAGCAAAUCAAACUGAUAAUGAGAUAUGUAAUGGUGAUACGAAGGGAAUAUCAAACCCGAGAUGGGUCUGGUAAGAAAAGAAUGAGAAGUGAAGUGAGAAUGACGAAUCAGAAGCGAAAACGAGGACGAUGAUAAUGAAGCGAAUAACAUCAAAAGGAGUGAUGAUCAACUCAGAUCAGACAUGGAGUGAUGUCACAUCAACUACGAACAUAAUGAUGGAACGUACAAUAACGCAGAGCUCCUAAGAGAAAGUCACUCAUCUCGCUCACAAAAUAUGCAACAAAAUGAAUACAAAGCCUGAGGGAUCCAGGGAAGCUCACAUACGAACUCCCGUCAACAAACAUACUCGAUCAAGUGACCCUCGAAUAUCAAUACAUACACUCAGUGAUGGAUAACAAAACACACUUGAUUUUUAUUUCUUUUUCCAUUUUUUUUUUUUCAUUUUUUUCAUUCAUUUUUUUUUUUUUUUACAACAUAUAAAUGAACUGUACAUGAUCUGAAUGCAUACAAAGAAGACCCAAAGACGGGAUCAAAAAUGAAUAAACAUGCCCUCAAAUAUCAAUAUAUCACAAACUCAAUCUAAUGAGAUGAGGUGACCUUCUCAAACUGAGGAUCCCUGGAUCAGUGUCCGUGGGAUAGAUAGUGGAAAUGGCGUGACUACCCUCCAUGUGAUGAAAUGAGGAGGAUCACCCCUCGGGGUGAAAGAAGAUGACAUGAAACGAAUAGUAGAUAAGAUAAAGAAAAUAUGAUGAAUAACACGAACAGUGAGAUGAGAUGAAAUGCAAUGAUGCAGUGGUGAGCACAGAUAAUGAGAAGAACGUGCCCCUAGGUCCAAGGCUCAUGAAACUCUCAAACAAUGCAUGCAUACACUAAAGGGCCCCAAUCCCGGUGUGAAAAUGUGAGCAAGGCUAUAGAAAAUGAAGGCUAUGAUGCGCGUGUGAGGCUCAAAUGGGCUAGCAAUGGACUAUAUAUAUCAGAAACGGGAUAAAGGGAUAUAGCUAACCGAAAUGAUGGCCACCCAUCCUGCGACCAUGGACUCAAACGUAGUACCUCUUUAGCUGAUCCACAUUGGUCGGCUCUGAGAACUGGUUUCCAUCUAAAUCCAUCAGCCAUGCAGCGCCCUCUGGAGUCAACUUCCUGAUGAAAUAAGGUCCGCUCCAACUAGGUCUGAACUUCCCUCUAGGAUCUCUGAUCAAUCCUCUGAUGACUCUCAAAACUAAGUCACCUACAUGCAGUGGUCUAGGCUUGACCUGCUUUUUGAAAGCGCGGGCCAUCUUCCUCUGAUAUGCACGAACGUGGUCUGCUGCUCUCAAUCUCCUCUCAUCUAGGAGAUUGAGCUGAUCAAAUCGAGCCUGAGCCCAAUCCGUCUGGGGAAUCUGCUGCUCUAGUGCUACUCUCAAUGAUCCCAUCUCAAUCUCAACAGGUAGCACUGCCUCCAUGCCGUACACCAAUGAAUAGGGUGUGGCUCCUGUAAAGGUGCGAAAAGAAGUCCGAUAUGCCCACAAUGCGAAAGGGAGCUUCUCUGACCAAUCCCGAGAAGUCUCAACCAUCUUUCGCAAUAUCCUCUUAAUAUUCUUAUUCGCGGCCUCUACUGCCCCAUUCGUCUGCGGCCUGUACGCAGACGAUCUAUGAUGCCGGAUGCCGUAUCUCUGCACCAAGGUGUCAACCUCUGCUCUGAAAUGCACCCCUCUGUCUGAAAUAAGCUCGUGAGGGACUCCAUAGCGACAAAUGAUGUGCGAUCUAAUGAAACUGACAACUCCAGAUGACGUCAAUCUCGCAUACGAGGCGACCUCCACCCACUUGGUGAAGUAAUCAAUAGCAACAAGGAUAAACUCAUGACCACUGGAAGAUUUCGGUGAAAUCUUCUCGAUGAUAUCGAUACCCCAUACUGAAAACGGCCAUGGUGAAGUCAAUGCAUGCAACUCCGAGGGCGGCACGUGAAUGAGAUCUCCAUGUAUCUGACACUCGGGACAUCUCUGAACGAACUGGCAACAAUCUGUCUCCAUGGUCAACCAAAAGUAUCCUGUCCUCAUGAUCUUACGGGCCAACAUAUGCCCCCCAUAUGUGGUUCGCAGACUCCCGCAUGAACCUCUCGCAUAACUCUAUCGGCAGAAGCGCGAUCCAAACAUAAUAGCAGUAUCCCAUCAAAUGAUCGUCUAUAUAGCGUCUCGCCACAAAUCACGAAUCGGGUGGCCAACUGUCUCAAUGCCCUCCUAUCCUUGGCCGUGGCGGCCUCAGGAUAUAUGCCGAGUCUCAAAAAGUGAUAUAUGUCAUGAUACCAGGGCAAACCAUCGUCUAUCUCCAUAUCAUCAAUCAAACAACAAUACGCAGGAGCAGAUCUCGACUCAAUCAACAAAGGGCGAACAGUGGCAUCAGCGGGAAUGUCGAUCAUGGAAGCUAGAGUAGCUAAAGCAUCAGCAAACUGGUUUUGCGCUCUAGGCAGAUGUGUAUAUCUCAAAUCCUCAAAUCUCGCGACCAGUAGCUCCAAAUACGCGUGGUAAGGCCUAAGCUUCACAUCUCUAGUCUUCCACUCGCCUUGAAUCUGUCUCAAUACCAGAUUGGAGUCACUAAACACCUCCAUCUGUCUAAUCCCAAGCUCGAGGGCUGUCUCUAACCCCAAGAUACAUGUCUCAUACUCAACAAUGUUGUUCGUGGCUGGAUGUCGAUCCGAGAAUGCCAAACGAACAGAUCUGGGAAUGUGAUCACCAUGAGGGGAUAUCAACAAAACGCCUAUCCCGUAUCCAGAAUGGUUGGCUGCACCAUCAAAGUACAUGCGCCAACCCGACAGACUAGUCGCAGCUGCGACGUCCUCGUCUGGAAAAUCAUCGUCAAUAGCUCUGGCAUCAGAAACUGGUAAUGAGGCUAAGUGAUCUGCGACAAUGCUCCCUCUGAUGGACUUCUGAGUGACAUAAUGAAUGUCAAACUCAGUCAGAAGUACCAGCCAUCUCAUAAGGCGACCAACUAGAGCGGGCCUGUCAAACAAAUAUCUCAAAGGAUCAAGACGAGAUAUCAAAUGCACUGAAUACUCGGUCAUGUAAUGUCUCAAUCGGCGAGUGGCCCAAACCAAUGCCAAGCAGUAGCGCUCAAUCGUGACGUAUCUCGUCUCGUAAUCUAGCAUCCUCUUGCUCAGAUAAUAAAUGGCUCGAUCUUUGCCCGAAUCAUCGAGCUGAGCUAACAUGCAACCUAAAGCCACAUCCGAAACUGAUAGGUAUAGGAGUAGAGGAUGGUCUGGUGUAGGCGGAGCCAAAACUGGAGGCGACAACAAGUACUCUCGGAUCCUCUCAAAUGCGCGCUGACACUGAUCAUCCCAAACAGUAGGUUGACUCUUCCUCAAGAGUCGGAAAAUGGGCUCACAAAUGUCUGUCAAUCUGGCUAUGAAUCUACUGAUGUACUGAAGUCUGCCCAGGAAGCCUCUGACCUCUCUCUCUGUCCUCGGUGCAGGCAUGUCAAGGAUGGCUCUAAUCUUGUCCGGAUCUACCUCUAUGCCUCGCUCACUGACCAUGUACCCCAAGAGUUUCCCAGAAGUCACUCCAAAAGUGCACUUCUUGGGAUUCAGCCUCAAUCUAAAUUGUCUGAUCCUCUCAAAGAACCUCUCAAGAGCUGCCAAGUGAUCUGAUCUAUCUCGGGAUUUCACUAUCAUGUCGUCUACAUAAACCUCGACAUCCCGAUGCAUCAUGUCAUGGAAGAGUGUGGUCGCUGCUCUCUGAUAGGUGGCUCCUGCGUUCUUCAAUCCGAAUGGCAUGACUCUAUAGCAAUAAGUACCCCACUCGGUAAUGAAGGACGUCUUCUCCAUGUCCUCUGGAGCCAUCAAGAUCUGACUAUACCCGGAAAAUCCGUCCAUAAAGGACAACAUCGAGUGACCUGCUGUACUGUCAACUAACAUGUCGAUGUGUGGGAGAGGAAAAUCAUCUUUAGGACUGGCCUUGUUGAGAUCUCGGAAAUCAACACAGACUCUCACCUUGCCGUCUUUUUUGGGAACAGGGACGACAUUGGCCAGCCACUCUGGGUACUCGACUACUGAUAGAAAUCCUACACUGAGCUGCUUCUGAAUCUCCUUUUUCACCUGCAAGCUCCAACGAGGGUGCAAUCGUCUCAACCUCUGCUUAACCGGUCUGGCAUGGGGCAGAAGUGGCAAACGAUGCUGGACGAUGGAUGGAUCAAGGCCCGGCAUGUCCUCAUAGGACCAUGCGAAAACGUCCAAGUAGGAUCUGAGCAGCUGGAUGAGACUAUCUCUCUCAUCUGAGGAUAAAUCUGACCCGAUCCUCAACUCCCUAGGCUGAUCUGCGGUGCCGAAAUCAACAAUCUAUGUGUCUCCUACAGCAGGUGAAACCCUCUGAUCAACGGGAUCCGAAUCGGAAACAGAAGAUGAGUCAUCAUCUGAGUCGUGCUGUGCAAUCUCAUCAUCAAUAUCAAAAAUCUGUGAUGUGGGUGAAGAUGGUGCAGAUAAAUCAAUAUCACAAGAGACAGGCAGGUACUAAAAAAUGCUCAAAUCCAUAGAUGAAACAUCGGAAACAAUGUCAGAACGGGAGACAAACCCCGACUGAACGUCAAAUGAAAGAGGUGGGUCCACAAAGUCGGACGCUUCCUCAACAAUGCCAACAUGGCUAUCAAUCAAAUCAUAAAAAACUAUAGCAUCCUUAGUAAUCUCCAGAGCAGGGGCUGUCUGGAUCUCCUCAACGAUCUCGAUGAAAGACACCCCGAAAAGAUCGAAUGGUGAAGUGAGCCCAGGAUGAACUCUCUCCUCGAUCGGGCCCAGGCUCAGGGCGAGCAUCUCGUCGAUGUACUCGUCGUGUGGGACGGCUCCGUCCACUAUGUCUCCGACCCCAGCAAAGGUCUCAUGCUCAUCGGUCUCGUCCGGGAAGCAAAGCGUUAUAAGGCUCGUGCGAUCUGGAGACGAAGGAGCAAUCAACACAGAAGUCGAAGAGCCAGGAGCUCCAUCUCUCAAUCGUAACUGAUGGACAAGGCGCUGAAGCUCGACCUCCUGAGUGGUGCUAAGUCCUCCAAUGAUCACGUCCGCACGGGUCAAUGGCUCUGAUGCCCUCACAAAAUAAUCAGAUAAGCUCCUGGUGUAUGGGCGAAGAGGAUAGUAGAAAGGUGUGUGGGUCAGUCACUCUCUCCUUGCGCAAACGCGCCAUGUAGAGAUAAUCGGCCUCAAUGGGGAUGAACCCGAGUCCGAACGGUACGUCGUGAUCAGGGAUGGCUAUGAACUCGCUCGGUCCAUGCUGACAUCGACCCAACCCCAUGCCGGGUAGAUAGGACAUGCUUCGCAUAAUAUCGAGCACCACUGUGCUCCCAUGCCGGUCAAAGGACAUGGCCACAAAAUCCCGGCAGAAAUCCUCUAUCUCCACAGUCUGCACCUCAUCGAAGGUGAAUUCAGUCAGAAAAAGAUCGUCAUCAGUGUGACUAAUCUCGAGCACAGGCUCGGCAACAAUGAACAUGUCUCCCACAGACUGUACCACGACGACCUGACCAUCGUGAAUAAACUUCACCUUCUGAUGAAGGGAAGAAGGAAUGGCCCCGGCUCUAUGGAUCCAUGGUCGGCCCAGAAGCAGGUUAAAGGAUGUAGGAAUCCUCAAAACCUGGAAUACAGCGACAAAAGUGGCCGGACCGAUCAGCAACUCGAUCUCCAAUGUACCCAUGACCUCUCUACGGGUGCUAUCAUAAGCUCGGACGGUCUGAGUGGAGGGACCGAAAUCAGAAGGAGCGUAUCCAAGGGCGAUGGCAGUGGCAAGAGGACAUACGUUCAGGGCCGAGCCAUUGUCCAAAAGGACAGAUGGGACUCGGCGGCCUGAACAGCCAACAGAUAUGUAGAGCGGACGAGUGUGGUCCGAGCCCUCCGGUGGCAAGUCAUCAUCGGAAAAGACGAUACAAGUGGCUCUGCCAGCCGUCAUCAUAUGAAGGAGUCCCUCGGGAGUGGUCGUGGUAUCAACUCUGAUCUGGCUCAGAGCUCGAGUCAGUGCGUCCCGAUGGGUACUGGAAGACGCUAAAAGGCUCCAGAUAGAAAUACGAGCCUGAGUGCUCUGCAACUGCCUCAAAAUCUCGUCAUCCUCUGCUCUCACCUCCUCCUGGGAUGACGUACCCCCUAAGGGUCUAGCGGGAGCGGCUGGAGGUGGCUGUCUCACUACUCUCCCUCCCCGGAGGAUAUACUAAACGUCCGGAGUCUGAGGAUCAUCACUAUGUGGAGCCUGAACCUCCUCAACAUCUGGGAUCAGAAUGUACGGCGCCUGAACGCUAUAGCGUGUGAAUGUCAGAGGCUCGGAAGUGGCCGCCUGUACAGAUGCUGCCUCAGGAACUAAUCGGAAUGGAGCAGGCAUCUGUGGCUCUAGAGUCACCCCACUCGUCUCGUAAAUCACAGCUGGCAUGAUAGGCUCUGGGUCUGGAUCAUCCCAACUCAACAUAUGGACAUGAUCAUCAGUCUCAUCGAAGUCCAAGAAAUGAAUACCACAAGCUGGUGGAGGAACUGCAUGUGUGGUGUGGGUCGGCAACGGGUUUGUGGUCACACUCGGCUGACCCAAGUGUACCAAACCCUGGUCUAUCAGAUCCUGAAUAGCGUGCCUCAGAGCGGUGCAUCGAUCGGUCUCAUGUCUAGGCCCCUGAUGAUAAGCACAGUGUAAAUCCAUCCUGAACUGAGCUGGAAUAGGCUGAGGUAGUGGCCGAGGGGUGAGAGCAGUCAAUAAACCAGCCUCCGUAAGCUUCCGAAGAGCCUGGCUCAACGGCAUGCCUAUCUGCGAGAACUGCCUCUGCGUCCUCAAAGUAAACGGAGCAGAAGUCUGCUGGGCUCCAGGUCGGGGAUAAGGCGCCGCAGGUCUCGCGGUGAACUGAGCAGCGUAGCAUGGCUGCCCUGUGGCUGUGUAGGAGACCGCGGGUCUCUCAAUGCCCUGAGUGGCAUAAGAAGGUAAAACCAAUGUCUGUGGCAUGUGUGUCUGAUCGUAAGCCGGACGAGGUGCCCGUGGCCUGUACUGAUGAGAUGCAUAGGAAGAAUGAGGCUCGAAAAACUGUGGGAUCGGCUGAUGGCGUCUAAGAGGCCUCUGACUGGAUGAACUGAUAGCACCAACCUCUGUCGGUCUCGGUCCUACGAAUAGUUUCUUCCCCUUAACAUCACUAGGGGAAGAAUCUGCCCAUAAACCUCUCGUGAUGCCGUCCUCGACAUCAUACAAAGCCAUAACCAGAGACCCAAAAUCUGUGAACGGGACCCCGACCACAUGUCUGGCGAUCCCCGGCUGUAGGCUCCUCAAAACCAUCUGAAUCUAGUCUCUCUCUGAUGGUCUAUCCACUAUCUCAGCUAUCUUCCCGCGCCAGCGGGAAAUGAAAGAAGAAACGGACUCCUCUGUCCUCUGCCUUAGAGCCUCGAGCUCUCUCCUCGAUACAUCUACAACAGUGUUAAACGAAAACUGUCGUAGGAACUCCUGGGCCAAGUCAUCCCAUGUACGGCGUCUCGAGGACUCCAGAGACGCAAACCAGCGCUGAGCUGCCCCACUCAGAGAUAGGGGGAAAAGAGUGAUCAUUUGAGGCUCGUCCAGUCCAUGAGCCCUCAUCACGGUGCUAUAAAGUCUGAGGUGGAGGCGCGGACAACCAAUACCAGUGUACCUCUCAAUAUCUGGCAUCCUGAACUUAGUUGGCAAGCUGGCUACCGGCAUACCCCCAAAAUCAUCCCAAACAACUGAUCCAUCUGACACUCUCAUCUGCCUCAUACACUGCUCGAUGCGGUCCAUGCGGGCAUGCGUGUCAUCAGCGACAACGGCCUGGGCGACUACGGGUGGAGUGAUCUCAGAAUGCCCGUGUAAUACAUAUGGUGAUGCCUGAUGCACUGAAGGAACGAGUGGGGGUGGUGGAGGUGGGUGUGAGUCAUAUGGCGUCUCAUCCUGGACUGCUGGUGGUCUACCCUACUGACCACCGAUCUCCUGCCUGAGGCUAGCCAAAGCCUCCUGGAUAGAAGCCAUGGCAGCCGUGAACUGAUCGACCGUGACAACCUGCUGAUCCAUAUCUGGUGUAUCUGAAACCCGAACUAAUCUGCCCUCUACUCUGAUCCACGAAACUAUACCCAGACUGAGAGUAAAAAUCCUGAUCCUGAAAGUACUCCUCUUCUGCUCUGAUCCACAAAGGUAUAUCAAGACAAGGAACAAAUGUCCUAUCCUACAAAGCACGAAGAACGUAAUAAGGAUAUGGCCCGGGGAACGUAUAGAAGAAAAGAUAAUCUGAACAGGAACAAGCAAAGCAUCCAAGUGAAGAUGAGCGAUCCGACCGUACUCAAACUCGUCCUGAUCUCAGUGCACUCUCAACUGGAGACUAAACAGAGGGAAAAUCGGAUCCAAAACUGCGGCUACAGAGGCACGGAAAGCCCUCAGAUGCACCCACGUGUAGGGAGGGAAUCCUAAUCGAAGGAUCUACGGCUCAACCUACAAGGUCAAGGUGGCUCUAAAUGGAUAAGGGUGGACUUUAAAAUAUCCCUAGCAGAAGCGAUUAUACCCUCCGACGGUACGCAACCCUCUGCACGUCUCCGAAGAGACGGGGCGCUUCCAUGCAAGGUGGUCAUCACCUCCACACAUGCACUACCUCGCAUCCCAGGGGGUUUCCUAUGGUGAAACCUCUCAAACUCUCAACACUCAAUAGUCGACUAGAGUGCACAGUGAAUGGUGUGGGUGCAUCCGAAACCCUAAAAAGCUAAAGCAGGAUAUGAAACACACUGGCCACACAAAUAUCCAUGAAACCUAGCUUCGGGCUAUACAGGUCUUCAAUGAUCGGACUCCAAUCGACAUCAAAGUGUCGCUCUCCUCCAAAAUGCUCCCGUGCAUCGAUAUAGCCCAUCGCUAGACCCUACUCCUAAUCUCCGGCUCGGUCAAAGAGCAAGCACACAGAAGGUCUCACACUUGCAAUAGUGAGAACCGAAAUGAAAGGAAUGACCGAAACCAAGAGAGUUGGAGGUAGGGGGAUAGAAGUGAGACCCACAUAGACAGGCAACAUGCAAUCAUACAGAGGGAGGGCAGUCAUGCAUCAUACGGUCAAGCAGAGUAUAGGAUAUAUCACUCAUGUCCACACAAAAAAAAAAGCUACAACUAUCAGGAUGAAUAGUGAUAUGAACAUCAUGCUCAAAAGAUGAUCUAGAUAAUAUGCAGGUCAGAGAAAACAACACAGCAAGUCAAACGAUGUACAAUAGUGAGUCUAUGCAUGUGAAGUGAGCAGAAUAAUCAGGAAGAAACAGAAUCGCUUUACCAAGCAAAACAAGGUGAGCAACCUAUGAUAAUCGGCAUGUCAAUGUACCAAACUAAUAUAGCAAUGAAGUACAAAAAAAACGACAUCCGAAGCCCCAAAUCAAGAUGAUCAAUCAUAUCAAUGUCACAACAUAAUAUCCAAGCAUACAUAAAAAAAACUCUCAAUGUGCAAUCAAGAGACAGGUACUCGCUGAUCGACUCAUCAAAUGCCCUGUUUGCUUCAUCUUAAGUUCAAGCUUGACCCUCUAACUCAUCCCCAGCGGAGUCGCCAUUUUGUGGACCCCGCAUUUCGGCUCAAUGCGUUCCCCACUCAAUGGUGCAUGCAGUCUGUUGAGGCUUUGCAAUGAUGGAACCUGAGUGCAUUGUUGGGCAGUCAUCCAUCCUUAUGAAAAGUUCUUAGGAGACUCACCCAAUCCUUGAAGUUGGAUCUGUUCCAUCCCCAGAAAGAAGAAUAUCAACAGUGAAUUAUGGGCACUACGUCCCUUUGACUUGGACGUUGGCCGCCAAUGUUUGAUAUGGAGUCGCGUUUGACUCAAAUGUACACUGACGCUACUUUUGGGCAUUGCCAUCAUGCUAUCCGUGACAUUUUAACUCCUGUCCUUCUUGCAUUAUACGAAUCAAGGAGGAAGAGUAAAUCAAAGUAAAACUCAUCAUAUGGGGCAACGUGAUUUUUAUCCUUCCAGGCUGGCAGAGACUCAACAUGAUACAGGGUUCUAAUCAAAGUUUGCUCUCGUCCAAAUACUCAAUCCUGUAAACAUCCAUGGGAUCAGUAAUGGAGAUAAGAGAAGGUCAGGAAUGCAAAUGAAAGAGAAUCAUCAUUGAAGUAUUGGGUUGAAUAAUGGGGUUAUCAUGGGAUCAAGAGGCUUAUGGCUUGGUGACAAUAGUUGACAUGGACAAAUGAGGAGAUAUGAAAGGCCAGAUUUGAGAGAUGAAGUCCACGUUUCUAUCAAGGAUUAUUUUAAUUGAUUCCAUCAAGGGCUCUCACAUGUGAGAUAGAGAUGGCAAUAGUAACAAGCACAACGAUGUCAAUGGCAUGAUUUCUGAGGCUAGUAUCAUAGGCGGCAUCCACCAGGCCAUUUUGAUCCAUAAGAAAGGUAGCAAAGUGCAUCGGGGCUUCCUCUUCGUUUUGGGUGGAAUGGUGAUCUUUGUGUUCCUCAACGACAUCCAUGGAGUGGAGUAGAUUGUUUAUUUGACAGUAGCAAUUGCAAAUGGGUCAUUAAUGGACUUGGUUUUGAUUACCAGGGCUUGAGAGGUUUCUUACCGAAUGAUAUAUCCCAAUCGCGCCAUCUACAUGCAACACGUCAGAAUGAUUCUUCUGUGGAUGGGAGCUAUUCAUGUCCUCUGGUGUUUGAGAAACUGCCAGACGUAAACCAGGAAGGGUCCCAGUGGACAGAUUGUGAAAUUCGAGAGACCAUCAACGUGAUUUAUCAUGUAUAAACUGGAUUCUUACCUAAGUAUCCUUGUUUCCGAACAUCGUAAACCGCGGAAAUUAACUUUGUACUGGAUUCCCUAUACAUGUGGGGCAGCGGGCUCAUCAGUUUGCUCAGUAUGGCUCCUAUGUCAUGGUAGUUUGAUGGGAAGUAAUGACAUAAAAAAUUGGGUUCGUGAAGCUAAGGACUCAACCAUUACCUUCUGGAAUAAUCAUGUAGAGCAAUCGAUUCCGUCCAUUAGAGAUGAAUUCUUUCAGGCAAUCAGGAGCAACACCUAUGAUGCCAUCAGCUGUUCUAACAAGCUCUGCAGCACCACUGAUCCUUAUAGUGCAGUCCCUCCACCCUGAGCUUAGAGGGAAGUGUUUUUGCAUGGCCACCUUGGGCAUGCAGCUCUUGACCAUGUGCCAUUUCCUUCUAUUCUCUCAUCCCCUGUUUUCUUGAAAAUAAUCUUCUUAAAUCCCAUUUUCAAUAAAAUUUGGUUGCCAUUUUCCUUCCGGCAAGCCACUUGUGCAUUUUCUUUGUUUUUAAAAUGUUUUAAAAAUAAGUAAGAAUUAAAUUCCGUAAUUCCAAGUGAUGGAAUUUAUGGAAUUGAUUCAUGCAAAAAUGAAUUGGGUCUUGGUGGGGGCCCUACAUAUGAGAUUCCAUGAUUGAUUGAUUUAUUUGUCAUGCAUGAUUGAUUUACUCUAUUCCUUGAUAUGCGCUUAAUUAUAUAUGUUCAUUGUUCACUAACCAUGUUUCAUGAUAGCGCAUUCGUGAUUGCCGCCCAGGUACGCAUCUAUUCAUAUUUUGCUCAUUCUUUAUACAUGCUUUGUCUCUCAUAUGUGCAUGAUUGAUUCGAGUAUUCAUUGAUUUUCUCAUUGAUUGUCAUGUCAGCUUCAUCUCAUUAGUAGAGACCCGACUUUAGGGACUUAGAGGGGUGCUACGGUCCAUACCGUACCUUCCCAAUAAGUAACCUGACCCCUGAACCCGAUCCGAUUUUUCACAGACCACCUUUUCCAAAAUAAGGAGUCACACUUAGGGUUUUUCUUUCUUAUUUUGUUUACCCUUUAAAAAUAAAACAAAAAUAAGUGGCGACUCCAAGUCAUUUUCAAAUAAUCAAUAAAAAUCAUUUUUCAAAUAAAAAUCGAGCUCGUCAUCGAGUGGGAAACGCAUUGAGCCGAAAUGCGGGGUCCACAAAGUGAUCUUGAAAAUUAUAAGUUAAUUAUGUUUACUUGAAUAAGAGAUUUGAAUAAUCUUGUAAAAAGAUGAUGUUUGUCGUUUAAGUGGAAGGUUGAUUUAGAAAUUAUCAUACAGGGAAAUGGAAAAAAAUACUAUUAUUUUGGUACAAGACCAUAUUAUUCAGUGGUGUCUCUAGAAAGUUCCAUUAGAUGCUAUUAAACAAUUAAUUUGGUGUCUCACUUGCAUAAUUUUGAGUUAUUGGAUUUUGGGUUUUGCAGACUCUAAUCUCCGGAGGUAACGACACAACUGUUGUCUCUCUGACAUGGGCACUCUCUCUUGUACUAAACAACCAUGACACCUUAAAAAAAGCUCAACAAGAAUUAGACAUCCAAGUUGGGAAGGAAAGAUUAGUGAAUGAACAAGAUAUAGGUAAGUUGGUCUAUCUCCAAGCCAUUGUUAAAGAGACAUUACGGUUAUAUCCAUCAGGACCACUUGGAGGACUACGCCAAUUUACCGAGGAUUGCACCUUAGGUGGAUACCAUGUCUCUAAAGGCACCCGUUUAAUAAUGAACCUUUCGAAGAUCCAAAAGGAUCCAAGAAUUUGGUCAAAUCCAACAGAAUUCCAACCAGAGAGGUUUCUCACCACCCAUAAAGAUGUUGAUCCUUGGGGAAAACAUUUUGAAUUUAUACCAUUUGGAGCUAGUCGAAGAGUAUGUCCAGGAAUAACUUUUGGUCUUCAAAUAUUACAUUUAACAUUAGCUAGUUUCUUACAUGCGUUUGAAUUUUCAACUCCAUCAAAUGAAUAGGUCGAUAUGCGCGAGAGCCUUGGACUUACAAACAUGAAAUCUACCCCACUUGAAGUUCUCAUUUCUCCACGCUUAUCUUCUUGUAGUCUUUACAAUUAAAACAUUGAAACGAAUAGGUCAAGUCGGUCUUGCUAGUCUUGGUUUAAAGACAUAUGGAGUUAGGUUCAAUCAAUCUAUGACAAGAUUUGGGAUUGUAUUAAAAGUAGGUUGGACUAAGAAUGAUGUAUAAUAAACUAAAGUACUAUUUAUGUCAAUAAAGUAUAGCUUUAUAUAUUAUUUGGUUAUCCUUGCUCUCCGUCUAGGCUCUCAUGGGUGCAAGGCCUACCCAUGAGGCCCUUUUCUCCAAAUUUGAGUCAAGUGGCUAAGGGGCUUACAACUAGCUUCUUUGCCAUAGACAAAUUUUCUUUUGUUUAUAUGUUUUAAUUGAUGCAUAUUCACUUUCUUCUUUUCUUAAUUAAAUUGCAAUAAUUAAACAUACAAUUUAAAUAAAUUUUAAAUUUUAUUUUUAACUAAAAACAAAAGUAUACAGAUACAAAUAUAUACUGCUUAAGUAAUUAAUUUUUAAAAAUUAUCCUUUGAGAACAUCUCAGACAAACUGAGACAUGCUUCCAGAGAAAUCUAAAUGUAAUGUUUUUAAAAGCUACUUUGUAAUUUUAUUUUCGAGCAUGUUGCAUAAUAUAUACUUUCCUUGAAUUGAUUUUCCAAACUAUAUUUUUAUUAGCAAUAAGGGUUAUCUACGUUUUGGAAAUUAUAAGUUAAUUAUGUUCACUUGAAUAAGAGAUUUGAACAAUCUUGUAAAAAGAUGAUAUAUAUAUAUAUAUAUAUAUAUAUAUAUAUAUAUAUAUAUAUAUAUAUAUAUAUAUAUAUAUAUAUAUAUAUAUAUAUAUAUCGUAUGGCUGAUUUGGAAAUUAUCCAAAAUGGAAAAAAAUACUAUUAUUUUGGUACAAGACCAUAUUGUUCAAUAGUGUCUCUAGAGAGUUCCAUUAGAUGCUAUCAAACAAAUAAUUUGGUGUCUCACUUGCAUAAUUUUGAAUUGUUCGAUUUUGGGUUUUGCAGGCUCUAAUUGUCGGAGGUAACAAUACAACUGUUGUCUCUUUAACAUGGGCACUCUCUCUUUUACUAAACGUACAACCACGACAUCUUAAAAAAGGCUCAAGAAGAAUUAGAUAUCCAAGUUAGCAGGGAAAGAUUAAUGAAUGAACAAGAUAUAAGUAAGUUGGUCUAUUUUCAAGCCAUUGUUAAAGAGACAUUACGGUUAUAUCCACCAAGACUACUUGGUGGACUAUGCCAAUUUACUAAGGAUUGCACCUUGGGUGGAUACCAUGUCUCUAAAGGCACCCGUUUAAUAAUGAACCUUUCAAAGAUCUAAAAGGAUCCAAGAAUUUGGUCAGAUCCAAUAGAAUUCCAACCAGAGAGGUUUCUCAUCACCCAUAAGAAUGUUGAUGAUUGGGGAAAACAUUUUGAAUUUAUUUCAUUUGGAGCUGGUCGAAGAGCAUGUUUAGGAAUUGCUUUUGGUCUUCAAAUAUUAUAUUUAACAUUAGCUAGUUUCUUACAUGCAUUUGACUUUUCAACUCCAUCAAAUGAACAUGUUGACAUGCAAGAGGCCUUAGACUUACAAAUAUGAAAUCUACCUCACUUGAAGUUCUCAUUUCUCCGGACUUAUUUUCUUGUAGUCUUUACAACUAAAACAUUGAAAUGAAGAGGUCAAAGUCGACCUAGCUAGUCUUGGUUUAAAGACAUAUAGAGUUAGAUUCAAUCAAUCUAUGAUAAGAUUUGGGACUGUAUUAAACAUAGGUUGGACUAAAAAUGAUGUACAAUAAACUAAUUAAAGUAUUGUCCAUGCCAAUAAAGUAUAACAUUAUAUAUUAUUUGGUUAGCCUUAAGGAAUGUAGCAUCAUAAUUAUUUCUUUGUUUUGUCUAAUUUAUCACCAUUUUUUCCCCUUCUCUUCUUCCCUUCUCUUCAUUAGAACAAAUAAUAUAUAGUCUUUUUAUUUUUAAAAAUCAAAUUCGAUUCCCAGUUAUAUAAGAAUUUUACUUUUACUUUAUAAUAAACUUUACUUUAAUCUUAAUAACUUUGACCAUGAUCUCCAUCAUUGAUUAAAUAUAGGGAUAAUUUCAAUCAUUUUUUCUAAGAUUGGAGUUAAAUUUACCCAUCCAUUAUUAAUUUGAAAUUUUAUUAAAUAUUUUUUUUUUCCUUUUUUUUUACAUGUAUAUCUUUUAAUUUAAAAUAAUAGUUGUCCGAUAUAUUUAUAUGAAAUUAUUUUCGAAGAGGUGAAUGAAACUAAACUUUUUUUUAAAUAUAAAAUCAUAAAAAUUUAAUAUACGCCAGCACGAUCCGGUCUAAAUAUUAUAUAUAAUUUGUGUCAUUUCAAAAAAUCAUAGAAGAUCCUUUUGGCAAGGUGGCCCCUUUGAGUAGGAAUUCUCUAAUUGGUCACUACAUAUUACAUAAUUUCAAAGAUUAUGGAGGAUCAUUUACCAAUCAUUAUCAGAAGAAGUGCUGAUUCCUGUAUAAAACUAACCAAUACGAUAUUUAGCACAUGCAAACAGAUUUGGAAGGAUCUGAAAGUCAAGCCUACGGGCCAUCCCUUUACGGCUUGUUCGAAAAAGCACAAAUUGAUGGGGUGCCACUUGCCAGCAGUCUGUUUCAAUAUCUAAAUGUUACCCAGUGGGAUUGCUUGAUAUACUUUUUGUCUCCUAGCUACCAUCUAUUAUUAUGGAGCUCCAGAGCUGGUAAGAUAAGAAUACACCCAAAAGCUGCUGGUGCAUGGCCAAUAAUCGGUCACCUCCUCUUAGGGUCACAACUUCCUGGGAUUUUUUUUUAUAAAAUUACGGUAAAUUUAAAAUUAAUUUUUUAAAAUGCGGCAUAUUGAAAAUAUGCUUGAAUAAUAAUAAUAAAAUGACAAAUAAUAAAAAGGAAAGAAAGUUGUCUUGUGGCUAUAAGAAAGAAUAAUAUAAAAGAGAGAGAUGAGGAGAGGCGGAUAGAGAGAAGAGUAGGCCGAAAAAAAAAAAAAAAAAGAGGAGAACGGGGAGGUGCUGCAAAUCUUUGGGCGUUCGAUCGUAUGACGAGCAAAACGACUUAUGUUUUGCAUGAAAGUUAAGGAGAAAAUUUUCUUUGAGGCGAGGAACAUUCCUUCAAAGUUCGAUUUUAGUUUCAAUGAUUGGAUUUUUUUAUUUGUGGUAAGAUAGUUUAAUCCUACAACUUUUGUUUAAUAUUUUGUUCUUGAAAAAAUAUUAUGAAUUUUUUUAGUGGAAGAUAAAUAUGUGUUAUUUGUGUUUUCUUUAUGUUAUUUGAAGUAUGAUUAUUCUUAAGGUUAUUAUUAUUAUUAUUGUUUUAUGAUUUACAUAUUAUUAUGAUUUUAUUUUUAAAAUUUUUAUGUUUGCAAUGAUUUAAUUGAAGAAAAACUGUUGUGUUGAUUGUUGAAAAUUAUUUAGUAUGUUGGGAAUAAAUAAAAUUUAUAUGAUUAGGGUUGAGACUAUGUUUUGAUGAUAUGUAAAUUAUUGUGAAUAUAUAUAUAUUUUAUAUUUGUAGUGAUUUAAUUGAAGAAAAAUUGUUGUGUUGUAAUUGGAAUUAUUGAUCAUGUUUGGAGUAAAUAAAAAUUAUGUCCUAGAAAAUUAUGCAUAAUAACAUGCAAGUUUAUUAUAUUUCAUAUGCAUCAUGGUUAUGUGAAAAAAAAAAUUGAUGAAAGAUUUUAUAAAAUGAAAAAGGAAAAAGAAAAUAAUGAUGAAAAGUAAAAACCUGUGAAAGAUAAAUCAAGAAGGAAAUGAGAUUUCUAGUGUAAAAAAUACAAAAAUUUAUCCCGUGAGUGUAUUUGAUAUAGAUGCAUAUCAUUAAGUGAAAACCCAAAAACAAUAGUUGAAUGUAAGCAUUUGCACCAUGUUUUCAUUUGGAAGAAGGACAUGUAUUAAAUACUUGAAUGACAUCAAUGGUAUGUUUAAAUAUAUUAUUAGAGAUUGAAAUAAUUUAUUUAUUUUGUAAGUUUAGAAUUAUUGGAUAAACCGCUAUUGACGAUUGGACCGAUGAAUGGGGCGGUUUUUCAUGAACUGCAUGGCUAAAUUCCAGCUCCAGUCUUCCUCCCAUUUUUCCUUUCAUCCAAAUAGUCCAACCUCCCCCUCCUCUUUUUCAUAGGGUCCAAGUGAAAGCCCAAUAAGCCCAGCCUUACAUUUUAAUGGCUUUUUGGCAAAACCUAAACCCAUUUAAACCCAUGGGUGGUACCUUUUUGGCAUGUACUAAUUUGAGUUAUAUGAAUUUUUGUAAUUUAAAUUAUAAUUUGUUAUUUUGUAAAAUAUUUUUUACUUAGAUUUAUGUAGAUAUUUGGGUUAAUUUGGGAUUAUAUAUUGAUCUAUUCAACUGAAAUCAUUGACCGUCAAAUUGGAUAGGAAUAACAUUUAAGGUCAACCCUUUGACCUGAUAUCACUAAUCGGAUUCUGAGUUGCCUUGAAUAGGGUGUGACUAUAAUGGAUUUUCUUCUCCAAUGCCUAAACCCUGUCAUGGUUGGAGCGUUUGCAAUACUCGUCCUCUCAUACCACCUGUUAUUAUGGAGGACUGGAGCUGGUAAGAGCAGAAUGGCACCUGAAGCUUCUGGUGCAUGGCCCAUAAUAGGUCACCUGCACCUGUUAGGUGGAUCUAAGAAUUUGCCUCACUUACUUUUUGGAACCAUGGCCGACAAGUAUGGACCAGUAUUCAGCAUCCGGCUGGGAUUAAAAAGAGCUGUGGUGGUGAAUAGUUGGGAGAUGGCCAAGGAAUGCUUCACCACCCAUGACCUGGCUCUGGCCUCCCGUCCUGAGGUUGAGGCCGCCAAAUAUUUGGGAUAUAACUAUGCCAUGUUUGCUUUCUCUCCUCACGGUGCAUACUGGCGUGAAGUGCGUAAGAUAGCUACUCUAGAGCUACUCUCGAAUCGCCGGCUAGAAUUGCUGAAGAAUGUCCGAAUCUCAGAGGUGGAGACAUGCAUGAAGGAACUAUACAAGCUUUGGGCAGAGAAGAAAAACGAAGCGGGCGUUGUUUUGGUGGACAUGAAGGAAUGGUUUGGGCACUUGACUCUGAACGUGAUUCUUAUGAUGGUUGCUGGAAAACGAUAUUUCGGUUAUACAGGCGAAAGUAAAGAGAAAGAGGCCCAGCAGUGCCGGAAAGCGAUUAGGGAAUUCUUUCGUUUGUGGGGACUCUUUGUGGUGUCAGAUGCCAUUCCUUUUUUUGGAUGGCUUGACGUGGGUGGACAUCUGAAAGCCAUGAAGAAGACUGCAAAAGAACUGGACGGUAUUGCUCAGGAAUGGUUAGAGGAACACCGGCAGCGAAAAGAUUCUGGUGAAGCUGAUGGUAACCAGGACUUCAUGGACGUGACGCUGUCCAUUCUGGGUGGUAGAGACAUUACUGAUUAUGAUGCUGAUACCAUCAACAAAGCUACAGCCCUGGUAUGCACAUUAUUCCUUUAGCAUCUUUAUAUGGUAGUAAAAAAUGAGACAUAAUUUCAUGCUUUAUCAUCUUUAGUCCAGACUCAAGAGUACUUGGGCCUGGGUUGGAAGAACUUAUUUUUGCUUUGUUUCAAGUCGAAACUAAUCAAAAGCAGCGAUUUUUAAAAGGUAAUUAUAAUAAUGGUAUUAUAAAAGUUCAAACAUAAAAUAACUUUUUGCAUAAAUCAAAAUAGAAUUUUUAUAUAUACAUAUAAAAUGUUUUUCUGAUCUUCAUAUUAAUUUUUUUAAGUCAUAACUUUUUUGAACAAAAUUAGUCAAACCAUAGAACUCUUGAACUUACAAAAAAGGGCUUUCGAUUUCUUAGAAGUAGAUACAUGUAGAUUAUGAAAGUAUGUUCCUUAGUCCGCAUGGUUUGAGGCCUCUUUGAGUGGGCUUCUAGAGUCGGUUAGACAAUUGGGCCUUUCAAAGGAUUUCCUAAAUUUACAUUUUUUUUAGCCCAACUUGAAUUUUUAUAAAAUGCUAUAUUUAUACGCGAGUUUCAUAUUCAAGCUAAACAUACCCAUUUUGAUUGGAAAAAAAAGGAAAGAAAAUGGGGCCUUUUUUCCACCCUUAAUCCUAUCACUACUUUUAAUUUUAUUUUAUUAGUUAAUGGUUUGUAUUUCACAGAUUCUGAUUGGAGGAGGCACUGACACUACAUCUGCUACUUUAACAUGGGUCAUCUCACUUUUAUUAAACAAUCCAGAUGUAUUAAGAAAAGCCCAAGAAGAAUUGGAUGCUCAUGUUGGUAAAGAAAGACUAGUAAAUGAAAUGGAUAUAAGCAAGUUGGUCUACCUUCAAGCAAUUGUUAAAGAGACAUUGAGGAUAAAUCCAACAGCUCCACUUUCAGGACCGCGUCAAUUCAUCCAAGAUUCUAUUUUAGGGGGUUACCAUAUCUCAAAAGGCACUCGUCUUAUAUUGAACCUUACCAAGAUCCAAAGAGACCCAAGAGUAUGGUUGAAUCCAAUGGAGUUCCAACCAGAUAGAUUCCUCACCACCCAUAAAGAUGUUGAUGUUAGAGGUAAACAAUUUGAGUUGACACCAUUUGGAGGUGGAAGAAGAAUUUGCCCUGGAGCAGUUUUUGCCCUUCAAGUGCUACACUUAACAUUAGCCAACUUCCUGCAUAGAUUUCAACUUUCAACUCCAUCAGAUGCACCGGUUGAUAUGAGCGAGAGUUUUGGAUUAACAAACAUCAAAUCCACUCCACUUGAAGUUCUUAUCUCCCCACGCUUGGCUUCUUAUGAUCUUUAUGAGUAGAACUUGAGGUCGCUAAGAGACUUAUUUCAAAAAACCUAGUGCUAUGAAAUGUGAAAUAAAAAUAAAUUUCACACAUGUAGCAUAAGUUUAGUAUUAUUUUCAAGCAGUUACUCAUGUGUGUCCUUUAAUAUUGUCUUAGCUUGAAUUUAAUGAAAAAUAUUUUCGACACCUUUUUCGUGUGGACAAGUAAUGACCCAAUUUCUUGUUAUGUUUCUUCAUUCUUUCAUGAAAGAGAAUUUAGAAGAACAAGUGACAUAUAGCAUUACAAUUGAAAAAUUAAUAAGUAUGUGCUCCACCAUAUGCAUAUAUAUAUGCAUAGUAGACUUGAUGAGUUUCCAAGUUGAUUAAUUGGUAUCUCCUUUUGAUAGAUUUCAGCCACCUUUUUGUACAUGAUUAAAGUAGUAAUGGAAACUAAAAUUACAACUCCCAUUUCAUUGUAAAAAGUUGGGAUGUGCAAGGUGGGUCAGUUCAAUUUUGGGCAUUAAAAUCAAAUCGAAUUGAACCCAAAAGAGGAAAAUGAUUAGUUUGACUUGAUUAACAAUAAUCUAAGUUGGUUCAUUUUGCUUCUAUUUAUAACAUCAAUUUUUUUUUAUAAUUUGAACAAAAAUAAUAUUAUUGAAGCAAGUCAUCUUUGGACGGUUGAAAUGAUAUUAUUACCACUAAUUUCAAAUCAUAUUAUUAUAACUUAAUGACGUGAAUAGGUAUUAUUGUAACCCAUGUCAAUCAUAUCAAAUAGUCCAAGUCAGAUAAAAGUUAUAAAGGUGUGAUUGGGAGUUCCAUCCAAUGUGAAAAAUGUAUACCAAAUUAAUGAUGUAACCAAUUGUUAUACUGUAUAUUAUUACUGUGUGUAUAACUUUCAAUUCAAUUCAGUUUGGUUCAUUAAUUUUUUUAAUAGGUAAUUGAAUUGGUAUAACUGAGUUAUAUAUUUUAAAAACCAAAUUUAUUAAAAAAAUAAAAUCUUAAAAAAUUAAUAGAUUUGGGUCAAUUCCAUUGAUUUUGCCAAUUGUACACCCUAAAAGAAGGGAUGUCCACUUAUCAUUCAUAAACUUUGUGUACUCCUAAGUUACAAUUUUGUCCCAUGUGAUUCACAUUUGUACUUAUUAUUCUCAAUUUUUUGUACAAAUGAUUUAUUAUUUUACAGAAUUUUACUCCAUGAGAUUCACAUUUGUACUUAUUAUUAUCAACUUUGUCUGCUCUUAAGUUACAAUUUCUCCUAAUUAGAUUCACAUGCGUUAUUGCCAUAAUUGAAUUUCCACAUUUAUGCAUGAAUUAUUAUGUUAAUAGAUACAUUAUCAUUUUGUCAAGUUAAUCUGACUCAGGUUAAUCACCAAAGACAAGGUGAAUUAAUUGACUCAAUUUUAAUAAAUUUUAAUUUAAAUGAGUGCAAGUAAUAAUAAUACAAAAAAAAUUAAAUAAAAAGAAGAGAUAACAGGUACAAACUCCAAUUUAUAUAUUUUGCUCAAUCCUAUACUCUCCUCAAGCUCUCAAAUGCAAAUUGAGGGUUCCACUAGCUUUUAAGACUUCAAUCAAACCUUAAUCCUUUACACUUGGAUUCUCAAUUUCAAUGACCUUUUUACACUUUAAUUCAAGAAAUUCCUCACUCUUGAACAUACUCAAAGGUAACACUUAAACAACAUUGAUCUCACAAAAUUUAUUUACAGAUAAUAUAAAUGAAAACUUAAAUGGUUUUUCUUGGCUAGGAUUUCUAAGUUAAUAAGGAUUUUUACAUUAAAAAGAAAGAGUUAAGAUCAACUGGGUUUUGUAAGAUUUUGAUAUAUAUCUUAGUUUGUGAGUUUUUUGGGAUUCUAUUGUAAUCUUAUUGUUUUAUCCUAAAAUUGUCAAAAAAAGAAAUCAGUAAUUUAGUAUGGCAAUUUUACUCCAAAGAUUAUUGAUUAAAAAUUAUUUUACUAAUACCAACGUGUAAGAGUUAAAGGCAUAAAAUUGAAAUUAAAGUAAGUUUAUUAUUUUGGAUUUGGUUAAGUAAUGACAAGAUUAAUAAUUGAACUUAAUGUAAAAAGAAGUGUAAAAACUUUAAAAGUUUAAAAUAUCAUUUCAUUAUUAGUUUCCACUUGCCAACAUAGAUUUCUCAUUCUAUUCUAACAAGUUUUUUGUACUUUUAUAUAUAUAUUUCAUAAACUUAACAAAGGAUACAAACAGCAAAAGAAAAAAAAAUAAUUGAGCUACUAAACCUCAAUAUAAAUUUGGGGUGAAUUGUCAAGGAGCAGGGGGAAGUACUGUAUCACAGAUCAAUGUGAAGAUGUAUAUAUAUUUAUAGUAUAGAACCUAAGAGGUGAACGUUUCUUUCUAAGUUAGGUAAACAUUUCUGUCAAAGUUGAUGAAAUUUUACUAUAAUUUAUAUACACAUGCUUUCAGUGUGCAUAUAGGUUGAAAUAAUAUGUGGAGAUGAUUUUUAUAUGUGAUUUAAUAUUGUUUUGGAUUAUUGAUUAUGACUAUAAAUUAUCAUGCAUGGAACUAAUCAAAAUGAUAUAAUUAAAUUAUAUUAAUGAAUUUGAGAUAGACAUGGCAAUUAUUAAUUUGAAAUAUCUUAUAUGAACAUAAAAUUUUAAAUAUAGACUCAUAAUUUAUAUUAAAAUAAUAAAAUUAAAAAAGUACGUUUAUCUCAAAUUUAUGCCUAGGGCCCAAAUUUUGCUGAGAGCCAGCCGGAUGUCAUCACAUGCAAGAAAGCUAGGAAACAAAGCUGAAGUUUGCUUCUUGUGUGGGAAGAGGUACUUCCGUGCUUGACUGAAAGAAAGGAUUUUCUACAAGAAAAAUUGUCCCCUUGUUUGUAAAGCCUCAAGUUGCGACAGCAAUAACGACAAAAGUAGGCCAAAGAAUUUGUCAUUAUUAUGAGACUAGAGAGGUUUUACUGAGAAGUUUUCCGAGCGUGAUAUCAGCAUUCGCUGUAUCACAGUGAUACAACAAAUGGUUUGAACACAGUGAUCUAGAACCCAUUAGCUCAAAUUUCAUUGAUCUGAACACGAUGAUCCUCAUCCGCAGACCAUUUUAGGGAAUGAUUAAUUCUAGCGAUUUUUUAACUGCCUGUACGAAGAACUUUAUCAAAAUUGGAUUCAGUGUAUCUUAACCAAUCUUGAUCAGUAUGCGACUGAUGAUUCUAUUUGAUAAAAGUAAUGCGGUGGCCCAACUUUAUCUUAAUUUCCAUGUUGAAACUAACCAUUAUAUUAUUCUAUAAUUAUAAAUAUAUACUAUGGAAUUAAGAUAACUUUGACAUGCUAAGGAUCAAAAGAGGGCAGCCACUUUAGUUGUGGAUUAUACUAAAUAAAGCUGAUCGAUUAUUACAUUGGAAAAUAACAUUGAACCUAUCAUGAAAGACAACCCUACUGGACCAUGCCCUGAGUACUAAAUGCUGAUAAAAAACAAGUACAUGUUCCAAAGGAAUUGAGUCCAUAUAUACUCAUUAGUGCUCAAAGAGAAAAACUAUAUAUCCACCGCUUAACUACAGUGAUCCUUUGAGCAGAAGAAACUAGCCAUGUAUUUCCUUCUCCAAUACCUAAACAUCACCACGGUCGGAGUCUUUGCCACACUUUUCCUUUCCUACUGUCUAUUAUUAUGGAGGUCUAGAGCUGGUAACAAAAAAAUAGCACCUGAAGCUGCUGCUGCAUGGCCCAUAAUCGGUCACCUACACCUGUUAGCUGGUGGUUCUCAUCAGCUUCCCCACAUAACCUUGGGAAACAUGGCCGACAAAUAUGGACCGGUCUUCACAAUUCGGAUUGGGUUGCAUCGAGCUGUGGUGGUAAGUUCUUGGGAGAUGGCUAAAGAAUGCUCGACCGCCAAUGACCAGGUUUCAUCCUCGCGUCCCGAACUUUUAGCCUCAAAACUUUUGGGCUACAACUACGCCAUGUUUGGUUUCUCUCCAUACGGUUCUUACUGGCGUGAAAUGCGCAAGAUAAUCAGCCUAGAGCUACUCUCUAACAGCCGCUUAGAGCUGCUGAAGGACGUCCGAGCUUCAGAAGUGGUGACAUCCAUAAAAGAGCUAUACAAGCUCUGGGCAGAGAAAAAAAAUGAAUCGGGCCUUGUCUCGGUGGAGAUGAAGCAGUGGUUUGGAGACUUGACUCUGAACGUAAUUCUUAGGAUGGUGGCAGGGAAGCGUUAUUUCAGUGCUUCAGAUGCAAGUGAAAAUAAACAGGCGCAGAGGUGCCGGAGAGUGUUCAGGGAAUUCUUUCAUUUGUCAGGGCUCUUUGUGGUGGCGGACGCUAUUCCAUUUCUUGGAUGGCUCGACUGGGGGAGACAUGAGAAAACCCUAAAGAAGACAGCAAUAGAAAUGGACAGUAUUGCUCAAGAAUGGUUAGAGGAGCACCGUCGGAGGAAAGACUCCGGUGAUGAUAAUAGUACGCAAGACUUCAUGGAUGUGAUGCAGUCAGUUCUUGAUGGCAAAAACCUUGGUGGUUACGACGCUGAUACCAUCAAUAAAGCCACAUGCCUGGUAUGAGUUAUUAAUGAAACACCCACGUACCAUUUAUUUGCAUAUUAUCAGGGCUAGCUUCUUUUGCACAGACAGUUUUUCUUUUGUUUAUAUGUUUUAAUUGAUGCAUAUUCACUUUCUUCUUCUCUUAAUUAAAUUGUAAUAAUUAAACAUAAAAUUAAAUAAAUUUUAAAUUUUAUUUUUAACUAAAAAUAGAAGUAUACAUAUACAAAUAUAUACUGCUUAAGCAAUUAAUUUUUUAAAAUUAUUCUUUCAGAACACUUCAGACAAGCUGAGACAUGCUUCGAGGGAAAUUUAAAUAUAAUGAUUUUAAAAGCUACUUUGUAAUUUUAUUUUCGAGCAUGUUGCAUAAUAUAUGCUUUCCUUGAAUUGAUUUUCCAAAUUUUAUUUUUGUUAGCAAGAAAGGGUUAUCUACGUUUUGGAAGUUAUCUUUAAUUUCCCCUGUAAAGAAUAAGUGAUCUUGAAAAUUAUAAGCUAAUUAUGUUCAUUUGAAUAAGAGAUUUGAAUAAUCUUGUAAAAGAUGAUGUAUAUCGUUUAAGUGGAUGGUUGAUUUAGAAAUUAUCAUAAAGGGAAAUGGAAAAAAAUACUAUUAUUUUGGAACAAGACCAUAUUGUUCAUUGGUGUCUCUAGAAAGUUCCAUUAGAUGCUAUCAAACAAUUAAUUUGGUGUCUCAUUUGCAUAAUUUUGAGUUAUUGGAUUUUGGGUUUUGCAGACUCUAAUCUCCGGAGGUAGCGACACAACUGUUGUCUCUCUAACAUGGGCACUCUCUCUUGUACUAAACAACCGUGACACCUUAAAAAAAGCUCAAGAAGAAUUAGACAUCCAAGUUGGUAAGGAAAGAUUAGUGAAUGAACAAGAUAUAAGUAAGUUGGUCUAUCUCCAAGCCAUUGUUAAAGAGACAUUACGGUUAUAUCCACCAGGACCACUUGGAGGACUACGCCAAUUUACCGAGGAUUGCACCUUGGGUGGAUACCAUGUCUCUAAAGGCACCCGUUUAAUAAUGAACCUUUCGAAGAUCCAAAAGGAUCCAAGAAUUUGGUCAGAUCCGACAGAAUUCCAACCAGAGAGGUUUCUCACCACCCAUAAAGAUGUUGAUCCUCGGGGAAAACAUUUUGAGUUUAUACCAUUUGGAGCUGGUCGAAGAGCAUGUCCAGGAAUAACUUUUGGUCUUCAAGUAUUACAUUUAACAUUGGCUAGUUUCUUACAUGCGUUUGAAUUUUCAACUCCAUCAAAUGAACAGGUCAAUAUGCGCGAGAGCCUUGGACUUACAAAUAUGAAAUCUACCCCACUUGAAGUUCUCAUUUCUCCACGCUUAUCUUCUUGUAGUCUUUACAAUUAAAACAUUGAAACGAAGCGGUCAAGUCGGUCUUGCUAGUCUUGGUUUAAAGACAUAUAGAGUUAAGUUCAAUCAAUCUAUGACAAGAUUUGGGAUUGUAUUAAAAGUAGGUUGGACUAAGAAUGAUGUAUAAUAAACUAAAGUACUAUUUAUGUCAAUAAAGUAUAACUUUAUAUAUUAUUUGGUUACCCUUAUGGAAUGCAACAUCAUAAUUAUUUAUUUGUUUUGUCUAAUUCAUUCUACAUUUUUUUCCCCUCAUUUUCACCACAACAAAUAAUAUAUAGCAUUUUAUUUUUUGAAAUCAAAGUUAGUUCCGAGUUAUAUAAGAAUUUUACUAUUACUUUAUAAUAAACUUUAAUCUCAAUAAUUUUAACAUGUAAAUAUGAUCUUCAUCCUUAAUCAAAUAUAGGGAUAAUUUCAUUCAUCUUUUAGAAGAUUAGAGUUAAAUUUACCUAUCCAUCAUUAACUUGAAAUUUCACUAAAUAUAUUUUUUUUUCUUUUUCCUUUACUAUUUUUACUCAUCAUAUCUUUUAAUUUAAAAUAAAAAAUAUGUUUAAUAAAAUUUGGGAAUAAUGGUUAUUAGACAUAUUUACGUGAAAUUUUCGAUGAGGUGAAUGAAACUAAAGUUUUCUUUAAAUGUAAAAUCAUAAAAAUUUAGUAUCUGCCAGCAUGAUCCGGUCUAAAUAUUAUAUAUAAUUUGUGUCAUUUCAAAAAAUCAUAGAAGAUCCUUUUGGCAAAGUGGCUCCUUUGAGUUGGUAUUCUCUAAUUGUCACUACAUAUUAUAUAAUUUCAAAGAUCAUGGAGGAUCAUGUCGGCAAUCAUGAUCAGAAGAAGUUGCAGCUUCCUCUAUAAAAUACUAUAUAUACAUAAAAUUAAUCAAUGCAAUAUUUAGCAUAUGCAAGCAAAAUUGGACGGAUCAUGAAAGUAAACCUACGGGCCACCCCUUUACGACUUGUUCGAAAAAGCACUAACCCAGGGUGGUGCCACUUUCCAGCUGUCUUUUUCAAUAGCUAAAUGUUACCACGGUCGGAAUGCUUGGCAUACUCUCUCUCCCCACUAUCUAUUAUUAUGGAGAUCCAGAGCUGGUAAGAGAAGAAUAGAACCCGAAGCUGCUGGUGCAUGGUCAAUAAUCGGUCACCUCCUUUGGGUCACAACUUACUGAAAAACCGUCUGUCUAGUAGGUAAGAUUCAGAGGUGAAUACAUGUAUUUAAAAAGAUUAUAACAAAAAAAUUGAAUUGUUUUAACCUAAUGAAGAUAUAAAAGAUAAAUAAAAUAAUCAAAAUCAAACAAAUAAGUAAAGGACACAAAUUUUUAUAUGGAAAAUUUUCACAUUUACUAUAAAGAUAAAAAAACUACAAGAUAUAACAUCUUUAAUCUACUAUCUAUUGUUUGAAAUCAAAGUACGCAAAUUUACUUGCUCACGAUGCAACACCUUUCUCUUAGUCUCGUUGAAGAGAUGCAAGUCAAUACUAUGAAUUUUUUCUCAAGAAAUUGGAAAUGAUAGGGUAAGUUGUUGAUUCUCUUGUAGUGUCAAUAUAAAACAUAUUUAGGUAUGAUAUGUAAAAAAUAUUUACAUAAUCACAUAGAUUAAUGAUACAUGAUUAAAAGAUACUAACAAUAGGAAAUCACUAUAAAGAACAUACCUGUUUGAGUCAUGAUAAAAAAAACGUGAUUGAUUGUUGUAGUCAAGUCUUCCUCUCUAUGAUCUUGAUAAUAGAUAUGGUGGCUAUAUGGGAAAACAGAUAAACCCUAUUUAUCUACAUUAGAGAGGGGACCUAGCAUAACUCAAAUUGGAUUCUCAUUGGGCCCUCCCAUAAUGGGCUUCAAUGAGACCCAUAGCCUACACUUGCCACUCAACUGAGCUUCUACUCAAAAGAUGCAAAACCCAAUCUAAAAUGUGAUCACUAAUUAAUUGGGCUCAUUAUAGAAUAGACUAUCUAUUAACCCGUUUUUGCAAAUACAAAUUAUUCAAUUAAUGUUAGCCCAUAUAAAAAUUUUCCAACAUGAUAUAUAUAAGAGAAGAUCUACUAGAAUUGGUAUCAAUUAAAAAAUUAUAUUUUACUAAAAAUAAUUUAGAAACUUAAACUUUUAAAAAGAUUUGGAAUAGUUUUCUUUUUAAAAUUAUUAAUUUUAUAUUAUUUCCCAAUUUAUUUUUAUUAUUUGGAAAUGAAUUUUUAAAUUGAGAAUUUAAAAAAUCUUUUUAUUAUUUGGAAAGAUCUUUUAAAUUCUCAAUUUAAAAAUUCAUUUCCAAAUUAUUUUUAUUAUUUGAAUUUUUUUUUAAAUUCUUAAUUUAAAGUUCUUUUNNNNNNNNNNNNNNNNNNNNNNNNNNNNNNNNNNNNNNNNNNNNNNNNNNNNNNNNNNNNNNNNNNNNNNNNNNNNNNNNNNNNNNNNNNNNNNNNNNNNGUAAGUCAUCGUCUAAAAAGAUUUUUAAGUCAAAAUGAAAUUAAACAAAAUUGUUAACUAACAAAUUACAAGACUUACUAUCCCAACAUCCCCCAUAUAUACUUGGGAACCAUGGCAGACAUAUACAGACCGAUCUUCACGAUCCUGGUCGGGAAUGCAUCGAGCAUUGGUGGUGAGCAAUAAGGAGGUGGCCAAAGAAUGCCUCGCCAUCAAUGACUCAGCAGUGUCCGGCCAUCCCAAAUUGGUAGCCCCAAAACAUCUGGGUUACAACUAUGCCAUGUUGGCUUUAUAUAUAUAUAUAUAUAUAUAUAUAUAUCAAUAGAAAUACUUAAACAAAAUAAAUAUUUACAUGUGAGGAAAAAAUAUUUACUUAAAUUUCAGAGAAUUAAUAAUAAGGUUAUAUUUGGUUUCUAAAAAGUAUUAAAGAAAAAAAAUAUAAAAGAAAAUGAUUUUUUUAUGUUUGGUUUUAUUAUAAUUUUUUUAAUGAAAAUUAAAUAUAAUUAGAAAUUUAUACAUUUUAAAAUUAUUUAAUCUUUAUAUAAUUGAGGAAAUUAAGUGAAAUGAAUUUGAGGAAACAUAUAAAAAUAAUUUAUUAAUUUUGAAUAUAUAUAUAUAUAUAUAUAUAUUAUUUUUUUUCUUUUUUUUUGUUCCACUUUUCAUCUCUAUUUUCUUUUCCUCAAAAUUUUCAAGAAUCAAGCCAAAGUAUUUCUAUUUAAUUGUAAUAAAUACAUGAUAGUUUUUUUUUUUUUCACGAAUUGUAGAUACCAUUUAUGUGCACUUGUCAUAAAUUACUUUUACGAUAAUUUUAAUUAUCUAAAUUAUUAUAUCGUAAUGUAAUAAAAUAGUUCCUUUAUUUUUUAUAAAAAAUUUUUAUAUUUUAAUUUUAUAAUAAACAUACUCUUUCCUGCAUUUCUUGAAAUUUUUUUAUAUAUAAAUUAUGAAAACGUAAAUUAUGGUUGCUUUUUUUUUUUUUUUUUUGGUUUUAGAAAAAAUAAUGAAAAUGCAUUUCAUAGCUGUGGAUUUUGAUAAAUUGGAAAAAAAAAAAAAAAAAAAGAGAAAGGUGGAAAGAAUUUAAAAUGUGUAUUUUUAAAAUUUAUUAAGAAAUUUAACCUUCUUUUUUCGUGGAUAUGGGCGAUUAGGCCAAACCAUAUAAAUAUUUUGUCUUCUUUUUCAUUUAUUUUAUUUUUGUUGUUGCAUUUGAUAUUGCAAUUUCCCUCCUCCCCCCAACAAGUGGAAUUAAACUUGUGGUGGGAAGAUCAUGGGAAAAUUGAAAAGGAUGUCAAGCAUAAAAUAUGAUAUUAAAUCAUUUGAUGGAAAUAAUAAUAAUAAUAAUUUUAGCAUAUGGCAGAUGUUUUGGUAUAACAAAGACUUCUUAAAGUGUUAAAAAGGUAAGAAAGCAAAGAACAUGAUAGAAGAUGAUUUAUGGGAGAAGUUAUACACAAUUUAUAUGUCAACAUCCCAAGAAGAUGGAUGAAGGAUUAGAUGUUGAGGUCAUAUAAAUAAAUUUAUUAAGUAUAUACCCAGGUAUUAAGUGUAGAUAUUAAGAUGGAUAGAAAGAUCAAAUCAUUCUUUCAUUGGCUUUCUACCAAAAUCGUACGAGAUAGUAGUAACUGCACUUUUAGUUGGAAAGACAACUAUUACACACCCUAAAUACUAAAAUUAUGAUUUAAUUAUAAUAUCAAAUGAUUAAUUUAUAAUUUUAAAAUUUUAUAUAUAAAUUUAUGAAUAAAAUACAAUGUUUGAAAUAAAAAACUAAUUAUUUAAUUAUUUUCAAAUUCAUGAAUUUUAAUUCUAAUGUACAUAAUAACCGUAAUUUUUUUUAUAAAGUUGUUACUAAAUAUAUAUUUCCAAAUAGUAACAUAAUAACAUUUUAUUUUACAAUUUCUAAAUUUAAAAUUUUAUUUCUUUUAAAAGUUGAAAUAAUAUGGUCUAAUGAAUUGAGAGUUUUUAUAUAUGUCUUGUAUGUUGUUUAAGUUAUGUAAUUUCACCAUGUAAAAUAGACUAUUUUUAAAAGUUUUAAAAUUUAAGAUAAGAAAUAAUAGAUUUUGUUACUUUUCAUGUUGGUGAUACUCAAUUUUUUAGAUUUUUUAUUUUUGAUAAUUUUAUUUAGGUGAACUUUUUAAAAAAAAAAAAAAAGAAAAAAAAAAGAAAUUUAACUAAAGUUGUCAAUUUAUAAUUAAAAUUGGAAAAUCAAAUUUUGAUUUACCUAUAAUUAAAUUCUAAAAUAUUUUUAUUAGAUUCAAGGAGGGUAUUCCAUUAUUUAUAUUACAAACUUAAAGUUAAGCAGACAUUUACUUCAAUGUGCUAUACAAUAAAUAAAAUGAUGCAAAAUGGUGCACCACACCCAACUUGCGCACUUUAUGCACACCAUUCAAAUCGUGCAUCUCCAACAUACGACCUAAAUUGUGCACCUCUAAUGCAUCACUUGAAUUGUGUACUACUUAAAUUAUGCAUGUCUCCGGUUUAAAACACUUUGUGCAUCCCCAAUUAUGCACCUCCUUCUCUUUUAACACCUACUUAGAUUUGCAUAUUAUCAGGGCUAGCUUCUUUUCCAUAGACAGUUAUUCUUUUGUUUAUAUGUUUUAAUUGAUGCAUAUUCACUUUCUUCUUCUCUUAAUUAAAUUGCAAUAAUUAAACAUACAAUUUAAAUAAAUUUUAAAUUUUAUUUUUAACUAAAAACAAAAGUAUAUGUAUACAAAUAUAUACUGCUUAAACAAUUAAUUUUAAAAAAUUAUUCUUUGAAAACACCUCAGACAAACUAAGACAUGGUUCCAGAGAAAACUAAAUAUGAUGCUUUUAAUAGUUGCUUUGUAAUUUUAUUUUCAAGCAUGUUGCAUGAUAUAUACUUUCCUUGAAUUGAUCUUCCAAAUUUUAUUUUUGUCAACAAUAUACCUAUGUAAGAGAUGGUUAGUUUAGAAUUUUUCUCUUAAACCAUAGGGAAAAAUGGAAAAAGAAUACCAUUAUUUUCGUACAAGGUCAUAUAGUUUAACAAUGUUUGAAGAGGGUUUCAUUAUAUACUAUCAAACAAUUAAUUUGGUGUGGUCACUUACGUAUUUUUAAGUUGUUGUCUUCUUCAUUUUGUAGGCUCUAAUUGCAGGAGGUAGCGACACAAUAGUUGUCACUCUAACUUGGGUGCUCUCUCUCUUCUAUUAAACAACCAUGACACCUUAAAAAAAGCACAAGAAGAAUUGGAUACACAAGUUGGCAAGGAAUGAUUAGUGAAUGAACAAGAUAUCAGUAAAUUGUUCUAUCUCCAAGCCAUUGUUAAAGAGAUAUUAUAGUUAUAUCCACCACGACCACUUGCAGGGCCACGCCAAUUCACUGAGGACUGCACCUUGGAUGGUUACCAUGUCUCUAAAGGCACCCGAUUAAUAUUGAACAUUUCCAAAAUCCAAAAGGAUCCAAGAAUUUGGUCAAAUCCAAUAGAAUUCCAAUAAGAGAGGUUUCUCACCACCCAUACGGACCUUGAUCCUCGGGGAAAAUAUUUUGAAUUUAUACCCCCAUUUGGCGCCAAUAGAAAAGCAUGUCCUAGAAUGACUUUUGGUCUUCAAAUGCUACAUUUAACGUUGGCCAAUUUUUUACAAGUGUUUGACUUUUCAACUGCGUCAAAUGCACAUAUUGAUAUGCAUGAGAGUCUUGGACUUACAAACAUGAAAUCUACCCCACUUGAAGUACUCAUUUCCCUACACUUGUCUUCUUGUAAUCUUUACAACUAAAACAUUGAAACAAAAAGGUCAAAGUCGGCAUAGCUAGCUAGUCUUAGUUUGAAGACGUUAGCUUCAGUCAAUCUACAAUAAGAUUUAGAAGUGUAUUAAAAGUAGGUUGGACUUGAUACUUUUAAGGAAUGCGAUGCUAAUUCUAUUUGAAUGGGUAAUGAUUCAGACUCUAAAAUCAUUAGGAUUUAAAUCAUAAAGGUGAGGAUAUUUUAUGGUAUUAUAAGGAUGUUGAGUAAUGUUAAGCAUGUUCCCAAGUCGAGGAGGAGUUUAAAUUUCUUUAAGGGCUUUGGACACUUUGGGUUGUGAUUUUUUUGUGAAGCAUAGUAUUAUGGGUAUCAAUAAAGUGCUUUGACAACUAUGAAAAGGAAAAAAGUGAAAAAUUUAUACACCUUAAUCAAUAAGACAACUUAUAGGUGGAGUUCUAAAGGAGUCAUGUUAACAGAAAGAAGGAAUGACACGUAUUUAUUCUUCAUAAUUAUGUAUAAUUAAGAGAUUUGAGUCAAUGCAUGUGGAGAUUAUUGGUAUUUGAAUCUAAUUAUUUAUUUUUUAUUUUUGAAAAAGUCAAUAUUUAUAAAGUCUAUGUUUUACUAAAUUACCCUUUUGAAUUUGACUAAGAUCAGGAAACUAUUGAUUUAGGGUUAAUUCACAUGAUUUUACAAAUAUGUGGUUUUAAAUAAGAUUUAUACUAAAAAGGAAAAAAAAAAUAAGAAAAGAGGAAAACUUAAAUAGGUAAAUAGUCUAUUGAGUUUUGGAUGGAGAAAUGUUGAGAGAAUUUGAAGAUUUUCUUUGUGAAGCAUAUUAAUAAAUUUUAUCUUCCUUUCCCAGGUCUUUUCUAUUUAUUUUAUUUUUCCUGCUCAAUUUGAGUGUUUCAAUUUUUCCAGAACAUGGACAGUACAAAUGGCCAGAUGUUUCAUAUACGGUGCAUGUCAUAAAGUCGCCGCCUUCAGCUUGGCAAGAAAUCAAGCGAAACUGGACUUGAACUUGUCAUUCUUAAGGAAAUAAGCGCCAGCUAGGGUUCAAAUUUUAUGAUGUGAGCAUGCAACACUUAUCCCAAUCCACUGUUCUACUAAUAGGAUGUAGAAGACAACAAGCAAUUGUAGGAGCUUAUCUUUUUUUAUUUUUAUCAAGGUAGUUUCUGAAAGGAUGUGGAUCAACAUCGAUCUGUAGUGAUCCCUAGAAGGCUCCACUGUUCUAAUAAUAGGAUGUAGAAGACAGCAAGCAAUUGUAAGAGCUUAUCUUUUUUUCUUUUUUUUUUAUCAAGGCAGUUUCUGAAAGGAUGUGGAUCAACAUCGAUCUGUAGUGAUCCCUAGAAGGCUCCACUGUUCUAAUAAUAGGAUGUAGAAGACAGCAAGCAAUUGUAGGAGCUUAUCUUUUUUUUUUUUUUUUUUAUCAAGGCAGUUUCUGAAAAGAUGUGGAUCAACAUCGAUCUGUAGUGAUCCCUAGAAAGGCUGUUUUCUAAAUAUAGUAUUAUAAUAAAAAUAACGUUUGCCGAAAUUAAUAACGUUUGGAUAUGUUACAUGAGAGAAACAAACACGAGUACUCCUUGUAGUACAUGAGAAACCAUAUAUAUAUAUAUAUAUGCUUGAACGGGGGAGCUACCCACAGUUUAACCACAGUGAUCCAAUAACGACAUUCUGAGCUACAAUGGAUUUCCUUCUCCAAUGCCUAAACCCUGUCAUGGUUGGAGCGUUUGCAAUACUCGUCCUCUCAUACCACCUGUUAUUAUGGAGGUCUGGAGCUGGUAAGAGCAGAAUGGCACCUGAAGCUUCUGGUGCAUGGCCCAUAAUAGGUCACCUGCACCUGUUAGGUGGAUCUAAGAAUUUGCCUCACUUACUUUUUGGAACCAUGGCCGACAAGUAUGGACCAGUAUUCAGCAUCCGGCUGGGAUUAAAAAGAGCUGUGGUUGUGAGUAGUUGGGAAAUGGCCAAAGAAUGCUUCACCACCCAUGACCUGGCUCUGGCCUCCCGUCCUGAGCUUGUGGCCGCCAAAUAUUUGGGAUAUAACUAUGCCAUGUUUGCUUUCUCUCCUCACGGUGCAUACUG
rnacentral:lncRNA from 1 species